AAGUAAUUUUUGUCAUCCUUUGUGAAUGGAAAAUGCAGUCCCUUCAGUAAUUCCAUUAUAUUCAUGACUUGGUGAAGCAUAUAACCAUUAGUGUCUUACCCUAAGUCGACCUUUAAUGAUGAUCCAUUGAGAUGGGUCUGACUUUUGUCAACCCUCUUAUUCCCUUGAUCAUAGAGGUGAAACUUAGGGGGCUUAACCCACUUUUCAAUCUUAUUGGAUAUAUGGCACGUGGUAUCCUCUUCAUCUUGAAAGAGUGAAGUGGUCAUACUCUUUCCUCUGAGUCCAUUGUAGCCAUGCACUUCUGGCUUAUUGGGCUGAGUGAAAGGAUUCCCUUCUGCUUCAAAUCAUAGAGAGAUAUGCCAUGGUCAGCCUCUUUAAUUCAAGGGAUUGAAGUACUCAAAUCCAUUUCUCUGUAUCCAUCUUAGUUCUGCAUUCAUGUCUCAUGGUUAACCAAGAAGAUCCAGCCUCCAUCCAUGAGAUCAGCAUCUGCAGGUUUAUGACACCACCCUUCCUUGGCAUAGGAAAGGGAUCAUUAAGCCGUGUGUCGGAUGACAGAAGUCAUCAUUCAGGUUAUCUUGAGAACUAAGGAAGUUGGAAUUCUAAUUAUUGCAUAUGGUUCUUGAUGUUUAGCCAAUAUACUAUAGGAUUUUAAGCAUCAUGCUCACGUGCAUUGUGGUUGUUUAUCAGCUAUAUGGUUUAUCAAAAUGAGGGACUGAUUAUGGUCAUAAGUACCUUUUUCCCAUUAAUUUCUUGCAUGUGCUCUGCUGAGAUUAUGUUUUUGACAGUCCAAAUCAGGGCAAACCAACAAACAGCUUUAUGUUAACUUUUACAAACUGCCACAUUUUCAGGUUAAACAAACAGAGAUAAAUCUUGGUGAAACUAGAAGUAAUACAACCUGUUCUGUGGAGAUAAAAGAAAGGGCAGCAGUACUGGUGGCUGCAGAAAUUGAGGCAUGUAGAGACGAUAGAACCCCCAAGAUACCUCUUCAUGAGAAAGUCCAGAAAGAGUGGGCUUGUGCUGUAUGCCAGUUCACAACCCAAACUGAAGCGACCUUCAAUUCCCACCUUCAAGGGAAGAGACAUCAGGCCAUUUCUGAGCAGCUGAGAGCCAAAAACCAGGCAACCAAAACCAAUUGUUCCCCAUCUGCUUCAAUGGCCAAGAAAUCUGAUCAGUCCACCAAAGAGGAGCAACCAAAGUGUACUUCCAACAAUCUGAAUUCCAAAAACAAUGGAAUCUCAGCUGCUUCAACAGUGAAGAAACUUGAUGAGACCAAAGAUGAUGAGCAACAAAAGUCUGCAUCUAGCAAUGGACCAAACCAGAAGAAUAACAAAAAGCAAGAGGUACAGACCAAUGAGCAAGGCCAUCAGAAGAACUCAAGGCAAACUGGUGAUGGAAUGAAAGAGUUGAGAUCAUGGUGCAAUAUCUGUAAUGUAAGCUGCACAAGGGAGCUUGACCUGGCCUCUCAUCUCAAUGGAAGGAGGCACUUUGAUAGGAUAAAGCAGCUGUCUGAAUUAUGGUGCAGUAACUGCAAUGUAAGGUGCAACAGUGAGGUUGAUAUGGCCUCUCACCGAAAUGGGAGGAGGCACUUGGAGCAGCUGAAGGAACAGUUAGGAUUAUGGUGCAGUAUCUGUAGUGUGAGUUGCAACAGCAAGGUGGACAUGGAUUCUCACCUAAAUGGGAAGAGUCACUCGGAUCAGAUCAAGGACCAGUUAAGAUUAUGGUGUGGGGCAUGUAAUGUAACCUGCAAGAGUGAGCGCAACAUGGCCUUUCAUCUGAAUGGGAGGAAGCACUUAGAGAAGAAGGGGAAUACCUGAUUUGCUCUUCAGAUUAUUGAUACUUACAAAUGGUUUUAGUUAGAAGCAUACAGACCAGUGGGUGGUGCUCACAGAUGCCUCUAUUUUGUUGUAUGAAGUAAAAACAGUAUUUCCAUGUCCAGAAAUCAACCACUUGUUUAGUGCAUGCAUGGCUGGUUCAAAAUUAAACCUAAUUGUGAAUGACUAGGAGCAGGGAGGGAAAAAUUGAAGUGAAGAAUGUAAGAUUAUGGCUUCAUUUUUAUUUUUUCCUCUUCUGAAAAUUGUAAGAUUGUGUUAGGAGGAGCUGGAAUGGGUUCAAAUCAGGAAUUAAGACCCAGUUCCAAGACAUGGAAAGUGUCUUUAGAUUAUGUUAAGUUAUUUCCAUUUUUUUUUCUUUAUUUACGGUAAGAGGGAGCAUAAGGAACGAAAAUGAAUAUUUUUUUUUUUUCGAAUAAAAAUGAAUUUGAUAAUUUCAAUUAUUGUGUUUGGAUGUAUUUCGGAAUGUAAGAUUAAAAUAAUUAUUUGUUUUCAUUUUAGUGUUUGAUAAUAAUGAAAGUAUGAAUUAAAAAAUAAAUUGAUAAUAAUAUUCUUAUAUUUAAUUUAAAAUAUAUAUAUAUUUUUUAUUUUAGAAGAAUAUGGGUUAAAAGUUUUUUUUUUUUUUUAAAUAAUAAGCUUAAGAAAAAUAAUUUUUACUCAAUAAAUAAAAUUAAUCAUACAAAGUCAUAAAAACCAAACCAAAAUAUAAGGGUAAAAUAAUAAUUUUAAACUAUUCAUUUAAGUUAUCCAAAUGCAUUCCGACUCUUCAUUCUCUUAUACCAAAUACCGUCUUUAAGUAUUUGUCAAACUUAUUUUUUUGCAAAAUAUCAAUAUUUUACUAAUAUUUUUAUCGAUUAUUUGCCGAUAUUUAUCGCCACGUCACCAAUUCUUUGAGUUUGACUUUCAAAAUUUUGAAAUGAUCUUUGAAGUCCAGUUCAGCCCAAAUCACUACACCCAUGAACUCAUCUACAAAAGGGAACGGCUGGGCCACCACACUAAUAUGGCCCAUACAUGGGACCUCGUAAAAGAAUACCCAUCUUCAAAAAUAGGGACCAUAUUAAAUUAUUAAUGUAGCUAUAGGAAGCAUUUGAGGACAAGGGUUAUGAUUUUUCCCUUUUCUUUUUCUCCUUAAUUUUCACAUCACCCAACAACACCACUCUUAAUUCACACAAAUUUGAAGGUUUGGAAUGAGACUUCUUCAUAAUUAUAUUGUAAUUAUGUUAUAAUAACCAUGUCGUUUUUGGAUUUAUUUAUUCAGUCCAUCUAAAUCUUUUGUUUAUUCGCGUCAAAACAAUAUAUUUAUAAUCGAAUCCAUUUAUGACAUGUUCAUCUUUUAUAAAUUCAUUAAUUUUAUAUAUUUAAAAUUUAUAAAAGUUAAAUAUAUUUUUUCAAUUAUGAAUAUCAUAUUACUAAAAUAUUAAAUAACUAAUUAACUUGAAAUGUUUUAUAUUUCAUUAAUUAUUUUAUAAUUACAAAAUUAAGUGAAAUAAUAAAUAGGUUAAAAUAUAUAUUUUAUUUUAGUUAAAAAUUAUAAAUUGUUAUUGAGACACAUAACUACUAAAAUUCUACCCAUUUGACUAUCAAACAAACAACUUAAGUUUUUAGUCAUAAUUUAAGCUUAUGAUAAACUCUAUUUACAAAAAUUAGAAACCAAAAUCAAAUUCUUCCUAGACUCAAAAAUAUAAAGACAAUCUUUUAACUUUAGAAGAGAACUAUCAUCUAAGAUAAGGGUAACACAUCCCAUUGCCUGUACAACAAUUCUUGCUUCAAAAGCUAAUGUUAGGUACAUAUCCCUAUCAUUCAACCUUUCCCUUAGCUAAAACCCCUAUAAAGAAUUAUAAACAUGAUCAAUGGCUCCAAAAUUUAUCCACCAAGAGUUAGUGGAAUCUAAUACUAAACAUGAUUCAACUAAAAGAGAAUGAUGCAUACCUGACUGUCUCUUUAAGAACUAAGGGCAUUCCUUUUUCUAAUGGCCUUUUUUACCACAAAGGAAACAUUUGUCAUGACCCUUACUCUUCUUCUUCUUCUCUUGCCCUUGAACUUUCCCUUCUGUUUGGUGAAUUCUAUAAUGUUCUUAUUUUGGUUAGAAGAACCUAAAGAACACUUAACUGCCAUAUAAAUACCUCUCUGAUCCUUGAGAAUUCCCUCAAUCAUUUUGUGUUCUCUCAUCAGUUCGGUUAUAGUUUAAGAAAAAAAUUGUUUUUUUUAUGUGACUAAACUUGGAAUGAAUGUCCAAGUUGCAUACAUACUCGGGUUGAGAUCAAGUCAUAAUGUAGUUUAAGAAAAAUAUUUUUUAUUUUUUAUUUUUAUUUUUUAUCUGAUUGAACUUGGAAUGAAUUUCUAAGCUACUUACGUAUCCAGGAUGGGAUCAAGUUCUAACAUAGUCACAAUGCAGUUCAAGAAUUAUUUUUUUUUCUUUUUUUGUGCUCCAACUUUUGCCAAGACUAAAGAUCUUAAUUUUGCGAGCAUGUCCUAACUUUUGCCUAGGUCGCCUUUCCAAGUUUUCAAUUUAGCAAACUAGGUUUUUUUUUUUCUUUUUAGUUCUCUAACUUUUGCCAAGACUAAAGAUUUUAAUCUUGUAAGCAUGUCAUAACUUUUACAUAAGUCGAAUUUUUAGGUUUUCAUAGUGCUGGAUUUUUUUUUUGUUUUUUGUUUUUUUUUUGUGUCGUAGUCAAUUUAAGCUCAUAUGGGUUGGAAGCGAUGUGUAGUUUGUUGGGAUUGAGCCCUUAAAAGCAAGACAUGAUGUAAUAAAGUUAAACUUAACUAUCCCCUUACUAUCCUUUUGGUGUAUCAACAUUGAUUUAAACAUUCAACCCAUAUCUCUUACAUUGUAUAUGAUUUAGAAGCAUUAGGAGUUGUACAGAAGAUACAAGUUAUGUGUUCUUUGUAAGUAGGUGAGUUAUCCAUAGUCAUUUCAUGGAUUUGGGCAAUCUAGUAGAGACUAUAGUGCACCACCUCCUAAUUGAAGGGAUGACUUGUCUUGGCCGUUGGGAUGAGUUUCCUAUGGUGAGCGUACUAGUGUAUAUGAUGCACAUUGGAUAGGACCUAUGACAAAUCAUGAUGCAAGGCUAUCAAUUGUCAUGAUUCACCAAGUUACUAUACUACAUGGACUCUCAACCUUGAGAGGACAUUGAACCUGUGUCAAAAUCAAUAGAAAGUUUUGACCUAUGGGCGAGACCCUAAAGUAGUCAUAUAUCCUUAUGAAUUAGGUCAUUGUUGAUGGAGGCUAGUGAUAAUAGGCAUUCUCAAUAGAGGCACCAUGAUAUGUCAUGCGAUUGAGAUGGUGUGUCCCUUUGGGUGAUCCAAGGAACAUGUGAUCAUGAAAUUUGUGGCCACAGUAAUUCCUUUAGUGGAAUUUGACAUAUGCUCAAGGAUUUGAGAGAUAAUAUUGAUAGGUGAUAACACUAUCUUGUUAGAUUAUAGACACCAGUUUCAUGGGGAAUCUGCAUGUAGUGGAUAGUAGGUCAUGAAUGCGAGCUUUGUCUCGUUGUUAUUUACAUAAGGUACUGGAGUGUAGUUGAUUCUCUUUAGUAGAAUGUUAAAUCAACUUCAAAAUUGGAUUAUGAGGGAGCCAGUACUCCUAUGGGUCUCAAUGGUCCCCACUCUAAGCUUAUAUACCAUGAUGACAUAAUUUAUGAGGGUUGGAUUGGCUUUAGGUUCAUUCUUAUGCAUAAGGGCAUUUUGGUAAUUACUCAAGGUUGCAUAGGGGAUAAUAAAUAAGGUCUCUAGAUUGGACUAAUUGAUUAAUUAGAUGGCCUUAUGUGGUUAAUUAAUCAAUUAAGACAUGUUAGGGCUAGAUUAAGUGACUCAAGCCUUGAUGGGUUCAAGUCACUUAAGCCUAGUGGGUAACCGUAUAAAUACCCCCUUAUGGGUUAGGGUUUUCUAAUGACUUUUAGUUAGUCAUCUUCCACUUUUAGAAAAAUAGAGAGAGUCAAAGCUUCCUCCUUUCCACUGCCCACACUUUGGAAUGCCAAGAUCGUGGAUCGAGUCAUCGAACGAAAGAUCUUGGGUGUAUGAGACCUUCGAACUCUUUAGGCUUCUUCUUCGUUGGAUGGAUUUUGAUCUAGGAACAUCUAGAUCACAUGUAUGUGUUAUAAAAUUUGGUUAAUUCAACCUAAGGUAAUCAUCCUAGAGAAGGGGCGAAUAGGGUGAUGAUCUUUUUUUGAAAAUUUAAAUUAUGUGAAUGCAAGAGACAAUUAUAUGCAAAAUAUAUAGCAAAACCAUAUAAAAACAAUUGCAUAUAAAGUAAAAGGGUAAGGAAGAGAGAAAAUAAACACAAGAUUUUUAUAGCGAUUCAGUGCAACCCGACCUUCAUCCAUUCUCCUCUAGCUUCAAUCCCAAACUUGAGGUUCCACUAAUUUAAGGCUUCCAACCCAAGCCUUCAAGCAAUACAAUCGGAUUAUGGUUCCAAUCAAACCUCUUGAAAUUUUAGUUCUAAGCACAUUUUACAAUCUUCAAGAGAUACCUCACUCUUAAACAACUCCUUAAGUGAUACCCCACACUUGAGAAUCCCUAAGUGAUACCUCACACUUAGAUUUUUCAUCUCAAAGAUUUAUAAAUGAAGAUAGGAAAUUGUUAGCCCAAGGGCUCUCCUAAUCGGGUUUUGAUGAUAAAAAAUCAUGGUUAAAUGACUAAUUGGUUUAAUGGUUAAGAAUCUCAGGCAUAAACUUGAAAAUUCAUCAAAAGACCAAAUGGAUACAAGAUCGAGACGUUUGGAAGACUUGUGAUCAUAGGAAACUAAUGUAAGAUGAAUGCAUGAGUACACUUAGGAUUUUCAUACCGUUUCAUGCAAUUUAGAAAACUCGGUUUAUUCUUUAAAACUUCAAUUUCAUUAAAACUUGAGUUUUAACAAAUGUACCUUAGGCAAAAUGUUUUAAAAUUGGCAUAAUAAUUCACCUAAAAACCUUGCUUAAGUGUUAGAAAAGAAAGGAAUUGAAAAAUAUAGGUUUUCGGGGCCAAAAGGCUCAACCGAUCGAGGCUAUGACCAACCUGCUCAACCGGUUGGGGAAUCGGUCGACCGGUUGCCCCUGUCCGGUCGAGGUUCGAUAGAGGGAUGCACAAAAUUUUCUUUCUCUCCCAGUAGCCUUCUCUUCUCGGUCGAGGUCUGGUUGAGGACCGAUCAAGGUUCGAUCGAGGCAACGGUAACCUGUCAAGCAUUAAAUGUUCCAACGGCUAGUGAACCGGUCAACCCCUAGCUCGACCAGUUGAGGUUACCUUUUGCUGUUUUUGGCUCCCGAGCUUAGAAACCUAUAAAUUGAGAGCUCCACUUUAUUUAUUGACGAGAGAACACUUGCAAUCAAUUGUCUACCUACCUGUUCUUGAUCAAAAAACUCUCAUUUCUUUCUUUGUGCAUUAAAUCAUCACUUGCAUAUCCUUUAGUGCACUCUUAUGUGUCAUCCUAGCUUUGUCUUAUAUUUGAGCUAUCCUUAAGCUAGGUUGAGGGAUUCAUUCUUGUAAAAACUGAGUGUCAAAGCCUUCAAGAGGUUUAAAUCUUGAAGAGAUUGUGUAAGAGCCCAUUGGAGCCAGAAUCCAAGUGUAAGAAGAUUGGAAGCUUGGUUGAAGCUUCAAGUUAGUGGAACCCUCACUCGGUUAAAAGAUUGAGGAGAGUGGAUGUAGGGAAGGAAGUGUCGAACCACUAUAAAACCCAAGUUUGAAUUCUCUAACUCUAUCUCUUUAUUUUGCUUAUAUUGUGCUUGAACUCGUUGUGAUUGAAAAGAAUUUAAAAAACCCAAUUCAUCUCCCUCCCCCCUUUUAGGUGUUUUUCUUAAUUAAGCAUAGCAUUUAUUUUCUCAAUUGGUAUCAGAACUAGACCUCUUGUUUUUUUUUUUUUUUUAAAAAAAAAAAUUAAUCGUCUAAGAGGAUAUGACUAUUGCAUCAAGCUCAUCUCAAGCUAAAAUUUUUUCAAAACAUAGAGCUUCAUUCUUUACGGGAUCCGACUAUCCCUAUUGGAAAACUAGAAUGACUUGGUACUUACAAUCUACUGAUUUAGAUGUAUGAGACGUCAUUGAAGAUGGCCUAACUUUUCCCACUAAACUAGUUGAUGGAGUUUUGGUUCCAAAACCCAAGCAAGAAUGGAAUGAGCUUGAUAGAAAAAACUUUCAAUUAAAUGCUAAAGUCGUUUUUACUUUGCAAUGUGCUAUGGAUAGAAAUGAAUAUAAUAGAAUAUGUCAAUGCAAAUCGGCUAAAGAAAUUUAGAGGUUGCUUGAAAUAACUCAUGAAGGAACUAAUCAAGUGAAAGAGUCAAAAAUUAAUUUACUUGUUCAUAACUAUGAAUUGUUUUCAAUGAAAAAAAAUGAUACUAUUGUUGAGAUGAUUACUAGGUUCACCGACAUUGUCAAUGGUCUUGAAGCUUUGGGAAAAACCUACAAGGAAUCCGAGAAGGUGAUGAAGAUAUUGAGGUCUUUCCCAUCAAAGUGGCAUACCAAGGUCACUGCAAUUCAAGGAGCAAAAGACUUGACUAAGCUACCUAUGGAAGAGCUCAUAGGGUCAUUAAUGACAUAUGAGAUCAAUUUGACAAAGAAGCUACAAGAGGGUAAAGACAAAAAGAAGAAGAACAUAACCCUCAAAGCUAUAACCAAGGAAGAAGAAGAUGUUGAAGAAGAAAAACCAAGUGAUGAAGAUGAUGAUUUAGCCCUCAUCACAAGAAAGCUCAACAAAUACAUGAGAGGUGAAAGGUUUAGAGGAAGAAAGUUCACCUCUAGAAGAGAUCCUUCUAAAAAGGAAUCUUCAUCCCAUGGUGACAAGGAGAAAUGAGAAGAUAAAAGAGAUUUGAUAUGCUUCAAAUGCAAAAAACUGGGACACAUUAAAUAUGAUUGUCCACUCUACAAGAGUGAAGCCAAGAGAAGAAUGAAGAAGGCAAUGAUGGCCACUUGGAGCGAAAGUGAAGAAUCCUCCGAAGAAAAAAAGGAGAAGGAAGUAACAAACAUGUGCUUCAUGGCAAUAGAUGAUCUUGAUGAGGUAAACUCUAACUUUAGUGAUGAAGAUAUGUAUGAUGUUUUUGAAGAAUUAUAUGAGGAUUUUGAAAAACUUAGUUUGAAAAAUAAUUCUCUUAAAAAUAAAAUUCAAGAACUUGAAAAAGAACUUGAAGAAGUAAAAGAAAAAGUUUCAAUUGUUGAAAUAUCUAAAACUCAUCUUGAAAAAGAAAAUAAGAUUUUGAGAAGUGAAAAUGAGAUUUUGAAAAAGAAAAAUGAAUGGUUGACCUCCUCUCUUUCAAUUUUCUCUUGUGGAAAAAAAUAUUUUGAAAUGAUCUUAGUUAGCCAAAAAUGUAUUUUUGACAAACAAGGGUUAGGAUUCAAAUCUUCAAAAAAUCAAAAGUAUUUUAAAAACUACUUUGUAAAAGAAUCCGCAAGUGUAAGUCAUUCUACCACUUGCAACUUUUGUAGAAGAGGAGGAGACAUUAGUAGUACAUGUCUCUUAAGAAAUGGUUCUCAAAAGAAUUCAAAUGCUAAAGCUAAAAAGGUUUGGGUUGAGAAAUCCAAAGUCACUAACCCUCAAGGACCCAAAAAGAUAUUGGUACCUAAAUCAACUUAAAUUUUAUUUUGUAGGGUUCAAAGAAGGAUAAGUGGUUCUUGGAUAGUGGAUGCUCAAGACACAUGACCGGGGAUGAAUCCAAGUUUGUUUUCCUUACAAAGAGAAAGGGAGGAUAGGUUACCUUUGGAGACAAUGCAAAAGGAAGGAUCAUUGGUCAAGGCAACAUUGGUAAUGACACAUCCUCUCUUAUUGAAAGUGUUUUAUUAGUGGAUGGUUUAAAACAUAAUCUUUUGAACAUAAUUUAACUUUGUGACAAAGGUUUUAAAGUGAUUUUUGAAGCAUUUCAUUGCAUUAUCAAAGAUAUUCAAAAUGAUAAAACCAUCUUCAUGGGCCAUAGAUGUGAUAAUUUUUAUGCUAUAAAUAUUUCAAAUAUGAUGGCCAUGGUAAAUGUUUUUCAAGCAUGCAUGAUCAAAGUUGGUUGUAGCAUAGGAGGUUGGGACAUGCUAACAUGGACCUCAUUUCCCAACUCAACAAAGAAGCACUUGUUAGAGGCCUUCCCAAAAGAAAUUUUCAAAAAGACAAAGUUUGUGAAGCUUGUCAAAUGAGAAAGCAAAUCAAAAACUCUUUUAAAAACAAAAAUUUCAUUUCAAUAACUAGGCCUGCAUAUGGAUUUAUUUGGUCCCUCUAGGACACCAAACCUUGGAGGAAAAUCUUAUGCAUUUGUUAUUGUGGAUGACUUCUCUAGAUACACUUGGGUCUUAUUUUUAAGUCAAAAGAAUGAAGUCUUUUUUGAGUUUUCAAAGUUUUGCAACAAGGUUCAAAAUGAAAAAGGUUUUACAAUUUCUUGUAUAAGAAGUGAUCAUGGAGGAGAGUUUGAAAAUAUUGAUUUUGAAGACUAUUGCAAUGAGCAUGGUAUUAACCACAAAUUUUUGGCUCCUAGAACUCCUCAACAAAAUGGGGUAGUUGAAAGGAAAAAUAGAACUCUUCAAGAAAUGGCUAGAACCAUGCUAAAUGAAAACAAUUUACCAAAAUACUUUUGGGCCGAAGCAAUUAACACUUCUUGUUAUGUUUUAAAUAGAAUUUUAUUGAGGCCUAUUCUUAAAAAAACUCCCUAUAAGCUUCGGAAAAACAAGAAACCCAACAUUAGCUAUUUCAAAGUCUUUGGGUGCAAAUGCUUUAUAUUAAAAACCAAAGACAAUCUUGAAAAUUUUGAUGCAAAAUCGGAUGUUGGAAUUUUUCUUGGUUACUCAACUUUAAGUAAAGCCUUUAGAGUUUUUAACAAAAGAACCAUGGUUGUUGAGGAGUCCAUCCAUGUUAUUUUUUAUGAAUCUGACAAUUCUCUCCAAGAAAGAGAGAGCUUUGAUGAUGAUUUAGGCUUGGAGACCUCCAUGGGAAAAUUACAAAUUGAAGAUAGAAGGCAACAAGAAGAAGUUGUAGAGGAUCCCAAGAAAGAAGAAUCACCUUUGGCACUACCUCCUCCUCAACAAGUGCAAAGUGAAUCAAGCUAAAACCUUCCUAAAGAUUAGAAGUUUGUCAUCAACCACCCACAAAAUCAAAUUAUAGGUAAUCCAUCUAGUGGGGUAAGAACUAGAUCAUCUCUUAGAAACAUUUGCAAUAAUCUUGCUUUUAUCUCUCAAAUUGAACCUAAAAAUAUAAAUGAUACUCUAGUUGACGAAAAUUGGAUGAUUGCUAUGCAAGAAGAGUUAAAUCAAUUUGAAAGAAGUGAAGUAUGGGAAUUAGUGCCAAGACCUCAAAAUCAAAGUGUUAUUGGAACUAGAUGGGUCUUUAGAAAUAAAAUGGAUGAAAAUGGCAUAAUUAUAAGGAAUAAAGUAAGAUUGGUAGCCCAAGGUUUUAAUCAAGAAGAAGGGAUAGAUUAUGAAGAAACCUUUGCUCUCGUAGCUAGAUUGGAAGCCAUUAGGAUGCUACUUGCCUUUGCACGUUUUAAAGACUUUCUUUUAUAUCAAAUGGAUGUGAAAAGUGCUUUCUUAAAUGGCUUUAUAAAUGAAGAGGUAUAUGUUGAACAACCACCCGGUUUUCAAAGUUUUAACUUUCCUAAUCAUGUUUUUAAACUUAAAAAUGCACUUUAUGGUUUGAAACAAGCACUUAGAGCAUGGUAUGAAAGAUUGAGUAAAUUUCUUUUGAAAAAGGGUUUUAAAAUGGGAAAAAUUGACACAACUCUUUUCAUAAAAAUAAAGAAAAUGACAUGCUCUUAGUGCAAAUAUAUGUUGAUGAUAUCAUUUUUGGAGCUACUAAUGUCUCUCUUUGUGAAGAAUUUUCUAAAUGCAUGCAUAGUGAGUUCGAAAUGAGCAUGAUGAGAAAACUUAACUUCUUCCUUGGACUUCAAAUCAAGCAACUAAAGGAAGGAACCUUCAUCAAUCAAGCAAAGUAUAUAAGAGAUCUCCUCAAAAGGUUCAAUAUGGAGGAAGCGAAAACAAUGAAGACUCCAAUGAGUUCAUCCAUCAAGCUUGACAAGGAUGAGAAAGGUAAGUCCGUUAACUCAACUAUGUAUAAAGGCAUGAUAGGUUUUUUGCUAUAUUUGACCGCUAGUAGACCUGACAUCAUGUAUAGUGUAUGCUCGUGCGCUAGAUUUCAAUCUUGUCCUAAAGAAUCUCACUUAAGUGCCGUAAAAUGAAUUCUUAGAUAUUUAAAAGAGACAAUGGACAUAGGCCUAUGGUAUCCUAAGAGUGAUAACUUUGAAUUAAUUGGAUUCUUAGAUGCCAACUUUGCCAAUUGUAAAGUUGAAAGGAAAAGCACUAGUGGCACUUGUCAUUUCCUAGGACACUCACUUGUUUCAUGGCAUAGUAAUAAGCAAAAUUCGGUAGCCUUGUCAAAGGCGGAAGCAGAAUACAUAGCAGCUGGUUUAUGUUGUGCACAAAUCCUUUGGAUGAAACAAACACUUAGUGAUUUCAAUUUGAUUUUUGAGCAUGUUCCUAUUAAACGUGAUAACAUUAGUGCCAUAAAUAUUUCAAAAAAUUUGAUGCAACACUCUAGGACUAAGCAUAUAGAGAUUAGACACCAUUUUCUUAGAAAUCAUUUACAAAAAGGUGACAUUACACUUGAAUUUGUAAGCACAAAAGAUCAACUUGCCGAUAUUUUUACAAAACCUCUAAGUGAAGAGCAAUUUUUUUAUAUUAGAAGACAACUAGGGGUGAUUUCUUUAUAAUCAAAUGAUUACUUGAUGAAUUCUUGAUUGAAUAUACCUUAUGAUUGCGUGAAUUUCACAUCAUAUGCAUCAUAUAGAAAUAAUCUUAGGAAAAAGGUCAAAUUUUGACCAAAAAUCAAAAUUCCCUUGGCAUUGGAUAUCAAAAAUUGGGGAUUUCAACUGAAAAGGGCAAGGGAAGGAUCACGAGACAAGCAAAAGCCAAAAAAUUAGAGCGUUGACCAUUGACCAUUGACCAUUGACCAAGCGGUUCGUCGGGGCUGGGAAUUUAAAGAGACCCCCGCGCUUUAUUUUUUUCACUAUUCCCCUCAAUUCCUUGAAAACUCUUCACAUACCUGCUUCCAGAGACCACUUUGGGUUGAAUCUUGGACCAUUUGAAGGGCUUGGAGUUGUUUUUGGGACGUUUUUAAGACUAGGGUUUCAAUCUGAAACCUAAGGUUUCCAUUUUUAGGAGCAAUUCCUCUCAGACCACGUGCAUCAGCCAGGCUCAACUCCUUCUCCUUGCGCUUAGGGCUUCCGGUUGGAUUUCAUUCUCUCUUGUUUGGUUUCAUUCUCUCUUCAAACUUCUUUUUCUUCAUUUUCCGUUCUUUGGAUGGCGCCUAGGAGAGAGACAACUACCUCUAGGGCUCAGGGCAAGCGCCCUGCUGAGCCAUCUCAACCUGAGCAGAUGGAGGCUCACCGAAAGGCGAGGUAUGACACGACCCUCUGUGGACCCGCAUUUUUCACGUGCGUCCCCACUCGAUCGGCGAGACUCGCUUUUUAUUUGUGAAAAAUUGAUCUUUAAAAAAAAAAAAGUUGGAGUCGCCACCUAUUUUAUUUUUAUUUUGAAGGGAAAAUAAAACAAGAAAGAAAAACCCUAAAAAGUGACUCCAUGGUUUUGGAAAAAGCAUGUCUUUGAGAAACCCGAGUCUAAGUCCGGGGAUCAGGUUACUUAUUGGGAAGGUACCUCUAGGAGGUAGCACCCCUCUAAGCCCUAAAAAGGUCUCUACUGACUAAGUUAAGGGAAGCGUGGCAAUUAAAUGGUUGAUCAUGGAUACCUAAGUAGGCUAGGUGAUUCCAAAAACAUAACAUAUCAAACAAGAUCAAAUCACAAUUAAGGAGAGUUAAAAAUGCGUACCUGGACGGCUUCCCAAACGCUAUCAUAAAACAUAAGAGAUUAGUUUGGAGAUACAUCACACAACAUUUGUUUUACUCAAGCAAAUCAGGCAUAUAUCAAGACAUUCAAGAAUCACGUCAAAUAUGGAUAUGGUCAUCAAUGACAUACAAGUCCAUAGAAUUCUCGAAAAAAGGAUGAAAAUGAGCGUACCUGGAUAGCAAGCUAGAGCGCCUUUAUGGGAAACAAGGUUAACCCAAUAACAAAUUCAAGCAUAUCUCCAAGAAGAAUCAAAAUCAAUUGAAUACCAAAAAAUCAUCUUUAAAAUCAAUAUUAGUGAAGAUAUUAGGAAUGUAGGACCCCCCACCAAAGUCCAUAUUACUUUUGCACGAAUUGAUUCAAUGAAUUCCAUUAUUUGGAAUCGUGAAGCUUAUUCAUGCUUGUCAAAAAUCGAGAAAAUCAUAAAAUAGUUGAAGAUGAUGAAAAUGCAUGCCGGAAGGGAAAAUGGCAGCAAAUAGUAUGUUAAAAUUUGGAUUUUAUGCCUAGAGACUUCUCAGGAAUUUUAAAUAAAACUAGAAUUAUUUUUUACGGGAAAAGAUUUUGAAAUCCAGAUUUAAAAUGUGUAAGAUAACAAAAAGAAUAAGGAGAAACAUUAGGAGUAUGGUGUGUGGCAAGGUGACCACUAUAUGAGUGAGGUCUGGAGGUGCACUUGAGACUAAAUGGUUGAAACAGAUUGCAUAGGGAGCAUUCUGUACACCACUAGUUGUCUAGAAAGAAACUGAAUGUGUUCGUUUCCGAGCCCAUGUUCACCGGAGUUUAGGGUGCCACCUCAUUUAAAAAAAAGGGCUUCAAUACAACUCUAGUUUCUCAAGAUCACAAUCUGAAUUAUCAACAGAAGCUUCUGGUGAAGACAUAAUGCUCAAUUUCAGAUUAAAUUUCCUGUUCUAUAACUCGUUUUCUCUGAAUUUUCCUUUAAUGUCUGUGCUUUCUGAUCAUAUAAGUUGCCCGUCUGGUUCCUUGUUUGAGACUCUGCCGAACCUGGAAUAAUGCUUCUAGGUCUAGCUGAGGGGACCUACACCCCUUUUCAUGGAACCUGAGGCAUGCGUUAAUUCGAAACUCUAUUACUUUGCCUUCCAUUGCUUUAAGUCUUUUAGCCAUCUCAGCCACAAAUCUGGAGAUUCAUUUAUCUUUCUUUAAUAUUCAAGCCAAAUGUCAAUCCAGUCCGCUUAAACCCCGAUUUGAAUGAUUUUGAACCCUCUUUUUGCGCUCUUGAUGUUUUUCAUUUCAACUACAAUGACAAACCACCCUUCGAAAAAAGAAGAAAUCUGGACCAAAUCCUAAACUUUUAAUUCACAACUUCUUGAGCCUGACUCUGAGUCGACACAAUUGAAUCACCUUGGAUAAGAGUGCUUCUAAAAAUCCUCCAGAAUGUAGGCACAAGUGCAGCGUUCGUUAAUAAUGUCCAUGGCAUGUCACAAAGGAAAGCUUCUUUUUUUAUAAUCAUCAACGCAAAUUGACUCUUAAUGGACCCCAUUGCCAGCGUCACAUCAAAGACUGGACAGAUAGGGAGAUUCACAAUUUCGAUAGCUAUCUUUGCAUUAUUUGGGCAGGGCAACCAUGUUAUGGAUAUAUAGCUCGAAGGUGACUUGCGUUUUGUUCUGUAUCAUCAGUAGCAGCCUCAAACCCGCCAUAGGUUUGAGUGGUAUUAAAAGACUCAACAUGAUCAGCUGUAGGUGAUCGAGCAGCCAAUUCAUCAUUGAGCAAAUCAAUAAAAGCUUGGAUAUCGUUGCCGAGUGGCCUAAAAUCAUUAGAUAAAUCAUUAAAGUCAUUAAGUAUAUUACUGAUCUCCAUGAAAACCCUCCUCCUUGCUUCUGUAGAGCGAACACAAGCUGCCACUAAAAUUGGUUAGCCCGGAUUGCUAAUUUAUGCAUCCAAUCACCAUCGAUUUCUCUUGUCCUUUUUGGAACUUCUGGAAUAUGGAUGAAACCUGUGAAGAAUGUGGUGGAAUUGCGGUCUGCAAGCACGAAGUUUCCAGUUACUUGAAAUGCUUCGAAAUCAUGGUUCCAGUUUACAUCUACAGGCAUUGGCUCAAGUAAGUUCGUAUCAGCUUGGGUGGCUUUCGAUUCCAAAAGCUCUAACAACAACAUGAUUCUCAAAUAUCCGAACAGCAAUGUCCAAAAUUGAAUCAAGAAAAUUCUUUAGCAGCAGUAUGUGUUGUCCCUGCUGGAGCCAUCACAGGAGCAACUAAGCUAACUGCCAAAAAGGUUCUAGCCAGUGAGAUCCCAUUCUGACGUUUCGGUUUUGGUGACUGAUAGCUUUCUAAUUGUCCCUGCAAAUAAUGUAAACCAAUAGUUCCAUUGAAUGGAUUGUCAUCCAGAGCAAGGAUCCGAAUACUUGUAAGGCCAUCAACGAAAUCAGCGAGGGUGGUGUCGACUUCGUUGUAAUCGAAGAAGGCGAGUUGCAAUUCAGACAAUCUGCGAGAAGAAGGCAAUUUUCCAUUGAAGUGGUUCAUCUGAAACCCCAAAUUGCAGAGCAUUGAAAGCUGGUUGAAGUUUUGAGGGAGAGGUCCCUUUAAUCCCAAUCCCUUAACUUGAAUCUGUGUAACUCUGUCACCACUAUAAAAUACACGAGGCCACAAAUUUGACUCCACCCGUUGGCUCCUUUCCUUCAUUCAUUCGCUUUAACAAGUCACAUUUAAUUCCAAAGAAUAUUAUAUAAUCUUCAAGUAUGUUCAAAUCAGAGGGCUCUAGUCCGUUAACCUUUACACUCUCUAGCAGGUUCUGUUCUUGUCUCUUCCUAUUAUACAGAAGUUCAAGCAAGUUUCAUAAAGCCUGAAUUUCUACACGUAGCCACUACUGGGGUCAGGUUUAUCCAAGUGUGCUGCUCCAACAGAAUUAUCGAUGUGUCAGUUUCUCUAAAAAUCACCUUGUGAAUCAAUCCACAAUACCGAGGCAUCCCAUCAUCAGAACUUCCUAAGCUUUCAGCAAGUAGGCAAGCAUUUAUGCUUGAGUCAACUCUACCGAUGACAACAAACCCAUCCAAAUCAAACUUCAUAGCUGUUUCUUCUUUUCCAUUAAUAUCAACUGGUAUCCUUUCUAAAAGAAUGCUUUUCUUAUGACGACAUGACAGUAAAACCCUUUUGCGAGAAUGGCUCAGAGUUUUGAUCAUCAUCUGAUUCUAUUGUAUUACUGGAAUGAUUGCUUUGGUAAAUGGAAUUCAACAGAAUCCACACAUUCAUGACUCUAAAAUUCAGCUUACUAGCAACCAGAUGGAACACACAUUUUCUGGUUCAGGCAUUCGUUUCUGGUCAGAUUCAUGGUAUCUUAGCGGUGCAACAGACGAUGCAGCAACCUCUUCUAGAGUGCCUUUUAUGAGCCUCAAGAGCAAAGGCCAAUGAUAGAUGAAGCGGUCCCUCUGCACUACUUGGGCUUCUGAUUCAGAAGUUAUCAUGAAGCCAACGAACAAGCAGAGUGAACGCAUUUGCAGUCAACCUUAAAAUUUCUAAUAUUGUCAGCAGGCCUGAUGGUAAAAAAACGAAAGUAGGGGAGCCUUAUUCAAGAGGAUCAUUGCGAACACUGUCACGUGUUAUUGGUGAGCUUGUUGGCAUCUUGUUUUGGGCAGAAUAAUGAGAUCCUUCAGUUAAUUAGAGAUCCAUAUCAACUAAACACCAGAAUCAUGGAUUUCCCAUGCUUUCUACUGGACAACGAUUGUCAGUUCUUUCUCUUGUUCACUUCUACUGGCAGUGGCUUGACUCUCCAACAAAACCCCUGAUGCACCCUGUAGCUCCUCAUUUAAUUCUGGAUUCUUAUCAGCAUCGCUUUCUUCUCCCUUUUGAGACUCUUGGAGUAUGAAAAAGAAAACUUGUGAAGAAUAAGGUGGAAUAUCCCAGCAAUGCAGUAUGGUAGGACCCAUUUGAGGGGGAACCCUGCAUUCAUCACUCUCACCUCCAGUAGCAUUAGAUGCUUGCUGGACCCAAUUCAGCCAGUCUCUGCAUAUUGACUCUCAAUAUAAACGUUUAGAAAUAACAAUGACUUCAUUUCUACUGCCUUGUUUAGACCUUCCUUGAUCAAUGUCUACCUUCAUUUCUCACAAAUUCUGGUUCUACUAUUAAAGUUCUGCCCCCAGUCCGUUUUGCAAAGCAUAAGCUAAUUUUAUAUUUGUAUAAUUCCAUCUUAACACACAAGUCCGUCGUAGCCUUUCCUGAGAAGUUAGAGAAGUUGCUUUUCUGAUAUAAAAAAGCCUUUCAGAACCAUGCUGAAGCUCUGAAUGUUGAUAGUUUUCCAUUGCAACUGAUAUGAGCUCCUCAUCGGUAGUGUCACAAGAAUGAUUCCAUGAGAAGUUUCUUGUUGCAUCACCUUUUUUAUGUAUUCCAACCCCAACUGUUGAGUUUCUUGAAAUUGAAACUACGGAACUUAGUUAUUUUGAAUUGUUUGCAUCUGUAGUGAUAAAUCACUGGAAGAGACAAUCAUAAUUUAGGCACUUGAUUUCCGUUUCGGUCGAACUAACAGCUUCGUAACUGUUAAUCUCAAGGUCAGAUUCAUGCUCUUGUUUCUCAAUUUCCUCUUCCCAUGAGAAUUUUUUUCAUAACAAUCGAAUGAAUUCUUAUAACUCCCAAAAGUUUCUAGCUUUUGCUGAUCAUGGAGGUGCCUCACAAUACUUGUCAUUAUACUCACUUUGGAAUUUUUCUGGUCCAUGUUCACUUUGAAUGAAUGUAUCCCUAAAGGGGGUAUUCAAUGACUGCCCAUAAUGAGUUACAAGUUCCCCAAAAUAGAAUAUAAUGAUCGUCGGCCUUACAGUACUGCUGUUUUAAAAUUUUCUGCUCGCUGAACAGUCAUAGUUCAAACCAUCAAUAUCAAAAGGCUUUCCCAGGCACUCAUCUUCAGAACCAUAAGGCCAGCAAGUCUGCAACCGUUUGAGUUGGGUAAAAAAGAAAGUCCUAAGCAGUGGAAGUGCACAGCAUGAUGCUGUCAAGUUUCAAUAACUUAAAUAUUGGCCAACUUAAGCCAGACCAUAUUCCUCAAAAAUCCAUUCUUCCUCUGCUCAUGUAAACUUGUAAUGCUGUCAGAAAUCCUGUCUUCAGAAUAGCAACCCUGACAAUUGAGUAUGGAAAGCAGAAUACCCAUGUGCUUCCAACUAAGCUUUUUACAACCAUCCUCAUAAACUGAGGCGUGCCAUUCUAAAGAAAAGGCAGAGUCUUUUAGAAAUCACAAUACUUCUGAAGCAGCUUGAAUUAGCAUAUUGCAGUAAUUGGAAGUCGGAUUGACUGAAACAGGGGCUCGAACGCAUCCAUCUGUAAAUCUUACAGACCGACCACCCUCAGAGAAAAGGUCUCCAAAAAAAAGGCUUCAGCUUCAUGACAAACAGCAUUCUCUGUUUCAGAGUUGCAACUGCCCCUGUUAUACUACUCCUGUGCACUUCAGCAUUUAUUCUUUAGUUAUACCGUCCCUUUAGAUAGCAUCUAUCCCACACCGUGAAGCAAGCAAGGUUCACUAUAAUAGGAUCUAGUAGCAGCAACAAACGGGUGAUCCUGGAGAUAUUUUAAACUCAACUUCAUCAACAUCUUCAGCGUGCACUUCUGUUGGAACACAAGCGAUAGUAGCAGUGAAAAAAAAAGUGUUGUACUGAUCCCGUUAGGAUUGCAGCCCAGAAUACCACGAACAGAGAGCCCCAAAAAUUGAAGCAACUCUGCAUCCAACUAAAUCACAUCUAGAACCCGGUUUAACGACUUUCUUGUCUUGAAGAGGAAAUACCCAAUCUGACUCAACAAUCUGUUAUCAUGUGCCAAACCCCACAAACAGCCCACAUUCUACGCAGCCUUUAUAAAGUCUCUACCUUUCAUGAAAUACUCAUGCCAUCAUUGUCUCCAUAGCCCAGAACACCAAAGUAAAGAAGAGGAAGAAGCGUAGAUAUAGAAGCACAAAAAAAGAAACCGAACAAAGAAAGAAAAAAAAAAAAAAAAAACGAAAACAGGGGAAUGGAAGGCAAUGGGUGGGAAAUCUGAAUAAGUCACAUUUCAUUAUUUUCAAAAGGGCUUUGAAGAAUCUGAACACAUUAGGACAAGCUUAGUUAAAAUUAUAUCAGGAUUCCACAAACAUUAAAAUUCAAACAUAAGUCUCUGUUUCAGCUAUUUAUAAAAAGAAUCAAAGAAAUCAAGAACACAAUCAUAAUAGAGCAAGUUUGAAGGAAAUUUCGAUUCAACAACGCAAAUAAAUGGCCCUCAAUGUCCACUCCAAUCAGCAAGAACAACUUCCCGAAAACAGCCAGAGAAUCUCAAGUGAAUGUAAACGGGAAUACCAAAAUAAUAAAAAAAAUAACAGGAAGCGUACCUGGCAGAACCUUGGCUGCAAUCUCCCUCUCUUUCUGCUCUUCUCUCCGCACUUUUUCUUCAAGAUCUCUCUUUUUCUCCUUUUUCUCCUUUCUUUCUUUUCUUUCCUUCUUCCUUUUCUUUCCUUCUCCCUCUCAAGCCCAAAAAUCCUAUCUCUCCCUCCGGAUCUCUCCAAAAAAAAAUCCCCAUGCGUGCUGCCAGUCCCACUUUUCAAAAAGAAAACAUCUUGCUGAAAAGGAAAAUCCUACUUCCUUUUCUCCUUUCUUUCCUUUCUUUCUUUUCUUUCCUUCUUCCUUUUCUUUCCUUCUUGUAGCCGAUCCCCACAUGGAAGAAGUAUAUGUGCUGUCCCUCUAAAAAUCAAAAUCUCCUCUUUUCAAAAUUCCGUUGAUUUUCCUUCCAAAUAAAUGGCGGUUCGUUUCCUCAUGCCCAAAAAAUAAAUAAAAUAAAAAAAUAAAAAUAAAAAAAAUAAAAAAUAAAAAAUUAAAAAAAUUAAAAACAAAAAUAAAAAAAAAUCAAUCACAUGCAAGCCAUACGAGCUAUGUAACCACCAAAGGAAUAUGAGUUAUGCAACCAUGCAAAAACACGAGCCAUGCAACCAUGCAAACCAUGCAAAAACAUCUAAAGGUGACCUAGGGUGUGUCCUAGUGCGCUAGGGCAAACGAAAUGGACUAAGUGUGCUUAAAAGCUAUCCUAAAAAAAAGAAAAGCCUACGACUAAGUUAGGGCUGCCAAGGGUCACAAUAAGGGAUCAAAUAAUCCCUCAACCAAAAUCUCCGAGGUGACUCAGAAAAAGGUUAGUGGUAUGAGUAGCCAUGGGCCACCAAGGAACUAUGGGGCACUGAAAACGAAUUUAAAGACAUGUGCUAAAGGGACAAAAUUGAGGGUCUACACCCUCUUCAGUUCUGUUGAAGAUUAUCAAAGAUACAAGCAAAAAUUCUCCCAGAGGAAACUAGGGAGAAAUAUCAAUUUCUCCCAACUUUAGUACUUCGGGUUUGAGGGACUCUUUAGUCGGAUGGGAUAACUGCCAGUUGUGAUGAUUUUCGAGCCGAUCUUCCUGACUCUGGUGCGGGCAUUUUAUUCAUAGGUGACUUAUGGACUUGGAGGACCAGUCAUGUCCACUAUUAGAGGUGUUGAGAUCAGACUGAGCCCGGAGAGCAUUUUCCGCAUUCUCGACAUUCCUUUAGUUGGACUCCGGGUGUAUGAGUCCAAGGUUUGGCCCACUGUGCCGGGAUUCGAGCCUAGAGAGGCUAUUCAGAGGCUGUGCGGACUUGUAGAUGCUGAGGGGAUGGACAAACCAUCGGCACAUAGCCUGACCGUGACCAGCCAAGUCCUUCAUCACAUGAUUUGCUCCUAUUGCCACAAGGCGGGUAUCGAGAUGAGAUUUCCUACCUGGAUGCUUUCAUAGUGGACACCAUUCUAAUGGGGAGAUGGAUUCAUGUAGGGUAUUUGAUGAUGAUGCAUAUGAUAUCCUACUAUGAGAGCACGACCCGAGUACUCCCCUACAGACGCUUCCUCACUCGAGUAUUCAAGGAUGUCGGGGUCGAUUUGAGUAGAGAGACGAACUUCGAGGCCCUUACUAGCUAUGAUACUUACGAUGAGCAGUCCUUGGAGCGGAUAAAGUUUGAGAAGGCCCUCGAUGGCUCCUGGAUUAGGAGAGUUGAGCGAGCUCCAGCAUAGGCCCGGGGACAAGGAUAGAUGCAUCCCGGAGUAGAGGAGGAGGCUGAGAUCAAAGAGAUGGAGGAUGGGUUAGACCCAAGGAUUGAAAUAUCGAUAAAUAUGGAUAUAUCGGUACUUGGAUUUUACGGAUAUAUCGGAAAUAUCGGAGAAAUAUCAAUGGAUAUUUUUCAUCAAAUAUCGGUGAGACAAAAAUUAUCCAAAAUUGAUGGGAAUGCUUAGAAAAAUCCAAAGAAUGAUAAAAUAAGCAAGAAUAUACAUGUUAAAGUUAUUUUAUGAGUGUAAUUGACAUAAAUAUGGUAUAAAAAAAAUAUAUAUCGGUAAACAGUUUACGAUACUUGGAUUUUAAGAAAAGAAAAUAUGAAAUUUGGAAUUGUACACUUAAAAAGUUAGAAUUGAGUUAAGAAAUAUUUGAUUUUAUUAAAUGAAAAAAAUUUACACAUAAACAUAAUACAUAUGACAUUGCAAUGGUCCUUAAUACCAAAAUGAAGAUCGAUGUGGUUCCAUCAUAUUGUUAUUGUUAGAUGAAGGGAGCCCAUCUUGUUGAAGACAAUAUUCAUACCAGGACAUGGAGUUUCGAUAGUAUUGAUUGUAUGUACUAACAUGCCAUGCAUAAAUUUCUUGAGUCCUACCGACAACCUGUCCAUGGAUGGGAAAUCCAGGGUUUUCCCAUGUGCUCGUUUGAAAUCCUUGUUGUUGCAGCUGAUGUAGAAGGUAGUAUGGAAUUUGUGUGGAAGAAUGAUAGUUAUACCUUUCAUACUCUUCAUCAGUGGAACUUGAAAGAUUUUGAGGAGGCUGACCAUAACUCAUUGCAUAAGGGGCAUAAAUGUUGGCUUCAUUUGAUGAAUCACUUAAUUGAGUCUCUACACUCAUCGACUCAAAACUGGCCGACAAUGAGUCCUCGUUGUAUGGCAUCAUCCUUCGUUGUCUUCCUCUAUAUGGCUUUCCAAUGGCUCCAACACCUGGACCGGCUCUUCUAGAGCCGUGGUCUUCAUCUUGAGUACAAUGUGUGAAAUCAUCUUCACUAAUAAAUGCCAAUGGUUGUCCACUUUGUUGAUGUUGUCUAACAUCCCCUUCAUCAUUUUCAGGGUCGCUACCAUCAUUGGUCCCCUCUCCUCUUGAAUCAUCAUAACCGGAAGCGGAAGUACCAGUAGCACUAGGUCUACUACUAUGUUCAACACUCGUGGGGUCAAAAGAAGGUCGAGAAGUGACUACCAGCUGAGAAAUUCCUUGUCGAAAUGAAUCUUUCGUGUCUUGGUUGAAACUAUCAAUAUGAACUUCUUCGGAUAACACUUGAUCAACAUCAACACCUGCUUCUCGGACAUGUGCGGCAAUUCGUGGGUCGAGAUUUCCAUCUUCAUCAUCUAAAUGAAGAGGUCUAACCCAUUGAAACAAUUGGUUAUCUUCUUCUUCACCAGCCUCAGUUGCAAUAUCAAGUAAAUCAAGGUAAUCUUUCUCUGAAACUUUGUCAUGUUCUGCUUCCAUGUCACGUAUCUUUAGUUUCAUGUUAUAAUAAUAGAAAACUAAUUGUUAGAGCAUCGGGUAAGCAAGCUGAUUUCUUUGUUUUGUAUGAAUUAUGGAAAACAUGCUCCAAUUUCUCUCACAAGCUGAAGAUGAUGCAGUUUGCGAUAAAACCUUGAUGACCAACCUUCUUAAUGUAGGAGUGUGAUUUCCAUACAUGAACCACCAUUCAACUACAACCAAAUAAAUGAUAUCAAUACUUAUAUUGGAAAGCUAUAAUAAUAUGCUAAUGAAAUGAAUUAUUAAUUCACAAAUAAUACUCACCGAGAACCAUUUCUAACCUCGAAGCAAUCACUGUUUGAUCACCGAAUCCUCUUUUUGCAUCUCGGAAUAGUAUAAUCUACAUAUUAAAUAAUUGAAAGUGAAAAAGUUGAGUAAAUGAAAUUAAAUUAUUUAAUUUAUAUUAUAACUCUAAUAAUUUACCUCAUUUCCAAAUUGACUAAAACCUUCUGAUGUAGGAUCUAAUUUCGCAAAGACUUCAUGGACAACUUGAAGUAGAUCAGGAUCAGUACCAACUCCAUGUUUAUAUUGAAAUCUUGGAUUAAGAAAGAAUGCUACAAUAGUAAAAUAGAAAUGUAAAAUUAGAAUGUUAUGAAAGAAACAUAUUAAAUACCAAUAAAUUUCAAAGAUGAAUAAUACUUACCUGCUGCAUGAAAAGGAUGUUUAAAAGUUCUAUCCCAACGAUAUGCAAUUAUUUCUAACACCCAUUCUUUAGCAUUAAGUCGAAUAAGGUUCUCUUUCAUAACUCGAAUCAAUUCGUACACAAAUGGCAUUGUAGGAACAACUUCUGAAUCGACAAUGCGAAGAACUGUGUAUAGCGCCUCAUAUAUUGACACUAGCUUUCCCACUCUUUCCUAGUAUGCAUGGUCAAACAUAAGUGAUUCAACUUCUUUGCCGAUUAAUGUGCAACUUAAGUUGUGUUGUGCCCAUUCAUCACUGAUAAAUAUUUUCUUCAAGUUUAUUUUCUUUUUCAAAAGACUGUCGAAGGCUAUAUAAUUGGUUGCAAAUCUUGUUGCUCCAGGACGAACUAUGUCUCCACCACACACCUUCCGCAUCUGGGUAAGCAACCAACCAUGGUUAUAAAUGAAGUUGGUUAUCUUUCGAGCCUUUGUAAUCACAUCUGCAACACUCGUCCUUUUACCGAUAUCUUCGAACAUUAAGUCGAUGCAAUGUGCUGCACAUGGAGUCCAAUAAAGAUUGUAUUUCUUCAUUAACAACUUCCCCGCCUUCAUGAAUGCCGACCCAUUAUCUGUAACUAUUUGGACCACAUUUUGUUUGCCAAAUUCCUUGAUCACAUCCUUCAACAAACCAUAUAUGUAUUUGUUGUCCUUUAUAUUAUUUGAUACAUCAACAUAUUUGAGGAAGAUUGUGCUACCUUUUGAAUAUACCAUGAAAUUAAUUAUGCUUAAUUUCGUGGGCCCAGUCCAUCCGUCAGACAUAAUCGUGCAUCCAUAAGUCUUCCACUUUUCUCUUUGAAUAUUGACAUAAGCUUCUAUGUCUUUGUACUCCAUAUCCAAAUACUCGUGUUUGAUUUCAUAAGGAGACGGUGGUUUUAUACCCAUACCUACCAUCCAUAUAUAAUUAAAGCAUAUAAGAACAUUUGUGGCAAUCAUACUAUAUAAAUAGUAAUGAUAUUGUUAAAAUGAAUACAACUUUUAAAAUUAUAGUAAUUACCUGCUUGUUGUGCACCAACAAUCAUGUUCUUGAAGUGGUGAGAGUCUGUUUUACUGGGCGGAACACUCUCAUAUAUGAAGAACUUACUGAUCAAACGUCCCAUGGUUUCCUUGAUGGCACCACCUUUGAAAAUAUUUUUCAUAUUUUUAUGUCUUGCUACUGAAGAUUUGUACAAUGAGGGUGCAUCAGGCAGUGAUGGAUCUAAAUAUCGAACACUUUGCGAUUUUCGCAUUUGCCUUGUUGUUGGAUUGGUUGGAUGUGAAGACUUGCCUAUUAUAAUUAUUAAAAUUAAACAUAUAUGCUAAUUUAAUAUUAUUGAUAAAGUUGAUAAGAAAUAGUAAUAAUUCAAAUUAAUAUUAUACCUGUUUUUAUUUUGUCUUUUAUAAAAUGUUCUUCUUAUUGUCGAUUCCAUUCAGCAGCUUUUGAUGCUCGAACCGCCUCUCUAUAAGCAUGUCGCUCACCAAGGUGCAUGUCAGCCAGAUACAUAUACACAUCAUCAUCUCCAUCAUCAUCAUCACCACCAAGGUUCUCCUCAUCGUCCUCAUCAGUUACAUGCUUAUGUCUUAUUCCCAUUGUGUCUCGCAGUUCAGAUCGAAUCUCUUCUAUAUCUGUAGCUUUCUUCGCUUUUGCCUUAUUUUUUUGCUCUAGAAGUCGUCUUAUUUAUUGUUUCACUUCUGGAGGCAUGUUAGGACACUUUUUUGUAUUUGAAUUAGGGUCUGUAUGUGAUAGGUGAAAUUUAAAACGAGUAAUCCCACCACUCUUUAUUGCCAACCCACAGUAAUUGCAUACUGUUCCAUUUUUGUCCCCUUCCAUAGGUGUACAAUAUUUCCAACAAGGAUCUCGACCCAUGAUACCGCUUUCACUAGCCAUUUUCUAAAAUUGAAUUAUGAAACUAAUAUCAAAUUUAAAAUUAUUAAAGAUAAAACAUGUAAGAAAUUUAAUAUUCAUGAAAUUGAUAAGAACUAAUAAAAAUUGAAAUUAAAAUUAAAUUAUGCAUAUAUGAAAUAGAUAAACAUUACAAUAAAAUUUCAAUAUGAAUUAAAUUUAAAUUAAAUUAAAUUAAAUUUGUAUAUUCAUGAAAUUGAUAAGAAUCAUUACUAAUAAAAAUUAAAAUUAAAAUUGAAUUAUGCAUAUAUGAAAUAGAUAAACAUUACAAUAAAAUUUCAAUAUGAAUUAAAUUAAAUUAAAUUUGCAUAUUCAUGAAAUUGAUAAGAAUCAUUACUAAUAAAAAUUAAAAUUAAAAUUGAAUUAUGCAUAUAUUAAAUAGAUAAACAUUACAAUAAAAUUUCAAUAUGAAUUAAAUUUAAAUUAAAUUAAAUUAAAUUAAAUUUGCAUAUUCAUGAAAUUGAUAAGAAUCAUUACUAAUAAAAAUUAAAAUUAAAAUUGAAUUAUGCAUAUAUGAAAUAGAUAGACAUUACAAUAAAAUUUUGAUAAGAAUUAAAUUAAAUUAAAUUUGCAUAUUCAUGAAAUUGAUAAGAAUCAUUACUAAUAAAAAUUAAAAUUGAAUUAUGCAUAUAUGAAAUAGAUAAACAUUACAAUUACAUUUCCAUAUGAAUUAGAUAAUAUCAAUUAAACUAUUGUAGACCCCCCUCUUUUGGUCUCGUUUCUUUUUUUUUCCUCUACAUAUAUUAUGUUUGUUUUAGCCAUUGCGGAAGCACCUGGAAGAGGUGUUAGUGCCUUGAACAAGUGGGGGGACCUGGCUGUUUGGAGAGAUGAGCUGCGUGGAACACGUGGUGGAGCAGUUGGCCACAGCCAUGGUGGUGGUUGGGGCUCCAGUUUGCUGAGCAGAGGAACAGUAUAGUAGCUGAUGGCUUGCAGGAAAAGCUUUGACGGAGAAGGAGGACAGAGGAUUUUUAAGAGGAUCCUUUUGAGAGUGCUGGCAGGGGGGGAUCUUGGAGGGAAAGGGAAGAGGAGAAGUAAGUUUUGAGGAGAAAGGGGCUUUCAGGUAUGGCCAUUUAUGAUUUUUCCCGAAUAUUCUGAUCUUUCAUAUCUUUCCCAUCUUACUCUCCAUGAUUCCAGUUUUGCUUGAUGAGUUGUUUUGUUUUGAUGAUUGUUGGUUUAACAUUAAAAAAGAUGGCUGUUUUUUUUGUGUUUUACCCGUGCAAACCUCUUCCAACUUAACCCUUUGAUCGUUAAGCUCAUGGAUGAAAGAAUGAAACGAAGUUAGCACAUUCAUCAAAAGGUUCCCUGCUAUGUUUCUCCAUUUGUUCCCUUUGCUUGAGUAUGUGAGUAUUGAUGCUAAUAGUAGCAAGGUCCCAGCCAACUUUGUACAAUAGAGCUCAGAUGUUGCUCUAGGGGUUCAUGAUCAUCCUGUCAAGUGCCUAGGAGCAAAUGAUGCCCUUGAGCUUACGUUUCUAAGUCGUGUUCUCCCUACCAAGCUGGAUACCCUCCUUGCUAAGGACGGGGGGACGAAACCUAUUAACAGCCGAAACCCAAUGAUAAGAUCCAAGUCACUGUCGAGUAUCUCAAUGAGAAGGAUGCCAUGGUUCUUUCUUCGUGUACAUGUUGUUCCCAUCUCCACCCAAGUUGACUAAACUGUCAUCAGUGAUGAGAUUGCUGCCUACACUAAAUAAUACAUCAUCCAGCCGGUUAUUCAUGAGAAACAUUAAGAUGAGAAGUCCACCUUCCAACACCCAUUAAGCCACUCUUCACACCCAUCUUCUCUCAUUAACAUCCUCAUACCCCUCCCACCACUUCGUGAUUCAUAUCCCCAUCAUCCCCAGCCGUCCAUGCUAUCAAUAAUAUCCCCACUUAUCUUCAUACCCAUUUGUUCCACUAUUCGGAAUCCCCAUGCAUGCGAAACUGGACGCGGAAGCCAUGAUAGCAGAGAUUGUGAUGAAGAACGUGGAAUGCGGUACCCUGUUGCAUGAAGUGAGCAUGGUGGAGCGGCGGUUUGAGGAGUCGACGAGGAAGAUAGAGCUGUAGAAGAGCUUGCUGGAGGUGUUGGAGUUGGAGAGGACGAUAUUGCUGAAUGAUAACGUGCGGCUGGGGCGCGAGAUGAGUGCGCUGAUUGAGGAGAACAAGGGGCUGUGGAGGUCCCGGCUCCUGCUCCGACGCUGGAGGCGCUGAGUCCUCCAGCACCGCCGGCCGAAGCUCCUAGGCCACAGCUAGAUGCGAUCCCAUCCAUCUCCAUCUCUGCCAGGUGAGAGUAGGGCAGAGAAGAUCACGUGCGUGAGGUAGAGGGUAGAAAUGGAUAAAGGGCAUAGAAAAUGGGCUACAGCAAUGCAUGGAAUUGUUUGAUAAAAGAAAAGAGAAAUGGGUUUGUUGACACGUGAAAGAACUAUGCACUUUAAAAAAACUCUCCCUGUUUGUUUUACAUAUUCUCAAACAAUGCUUAAAAAUCCCUUAAAAUUUUAAAGUUAAAAAUUUAUUCACUUAUUCAUGUUUUUCUAUUCACUUCAAAUUCUCGAAACUCAAUCCUAAAAUUUAAUUUCUUCAAAGUUCAAUCUCCAAAAUAACUUUUUUUUUAGGUUCUAAUUUUAACUUUAAUUCUCCAAAGAUCCAAAAUUUUAAAUUUAACUUUCCAAAAAUCCCACAAUUCCGAAUUUAAUUUUAGGUCUUGUAAAUUAGUAUUAUUAUCCCAUAUUUAUUUAUUUAAAGUCCAAUCCUUCAAAAAUCUCAUUAUUAUUAUUAUUAUUACUUCAACUUUCGAAAUCAAUUUAUUCUUAUUAUUAUUAUCAUUAAUCCAAACUUUCAAAAUCCUAUUAUUAUUAUUAUUAACCCAACUCUCAAAAUAUUAUUAUUAUUAUUAUUAUUAUUAUCAUUAAUUCAGACUUUCGAAAUCUUAUUAUCAUUAUUAUUAAUUCAACUUGCAAAACCUUAUUAUUAUUAUUAUCAUUUCAAAACCUUAUCAUUAUUAUUAUUAUUAUGAUUAUCAUUAUUAUUAAUUUAACUUUUAAAAUAUUAUUAUUACUGUUUUUAUUAAUUCAACUUUUAAAAUCUUAUUAUUAUUAUUAUUACUAAUUCAAUUUUCAAAAUCUUAUUAUUGUUAUUAUUAUUAUUAUUGUUAAUUCAACUUUCAAAAUCUUAUUAUUAUUAUUAUUAUUAUCAUUAUUAACCUAUUAUCAUUAUUAUUAUUAUUAUUACUAUUACUAUUAUUAUUAUUAUUAUCAUUAUUAUUAAUUCAAUUCCCCAAAUCUUAUUAUUAUUAUUAUUAUUAAUUCAACUGUCAAAAUCUAUAUUCCCGUAGUUUAAUUUCUCAAAGUUCAUUUCUUAUCAUUACUGUUAUUAUUAAUUCAAUUUUCAAAAUCUAUAUUCUCGCAGUUUAAUUUCUCAAAGUUCAUUUCUUAUCAUUACUAUUAUUAUUAAUUCAGCUUUCAAAAUCCAUAUUCUCGCAGAUCAAUUUCCUAAAGUUCAUCUCUCAUUUUCUUUGACGAAUUUCAAUUUAAUUACCGAAGCUCUAAUCUUUCAAAGUUAAUUCCAAAUACUUCAAUUUUCAAAUAAAGUCUAAUAAUCCAGUUUUCACUCGAAUGGUUUUAAUCCCAUUUCAGUCCCUAAAUAAUCUUCUGGUAUUCUUGAUUUUAUAUAAGCAAUAGUGAAUUCUUCAUAAUUCUAAAACACGGAAUUUGUGAGACUGGUUCAUGAAUAAUAAAUUGGGUUUUGGUGGGAGGCACUAUGUUUGAUCCCUAUUGAUUGUCAACUGUUGUGCUUAAUGUAUUUUUGCUUGAUCUUCAUUUUGCACCCUGAUAUGCAUGAGUUAUAAUUUGUAUUCAUUAAUUAUGCACUAAUCCUGUUUCUUGAUAGCAAAUUGCUGUUUGCUACCCAGGUACGCAUUCACUCAUUCUGAUCAUUCACUAUACGUAUUCUGAUUCUCAUAUAUGCAUGAUUAAUGUGAGUAUCCAUUGACUUUCUUAUUCGAUUGCCACGUCAGUUUCACUUUAUUAGUAGAGACCCGACUUUAGGGACUUUGAGGGGUGCUAUGGUCUCUACCGUACCUUCCCGAUAAGUAACCUGACCCUCGAACCCGAUCCGGUUUUUCACAGACCACCUUUUCCAAAACAAGGAGUCGCACUUAGGGUUUUUCUUUCUUAUUUUGUUUACCCUUUAAAAAUAAAACAAAAAUAAGUGGCGACUCCAAGUCAUUUUCAAAUAAUCAAUAAAAAUCAAGUUUUCAAAUAAAAAUCGAGUUCGUCAUCGAGUGGGAAACGCAUUGAGCCGAAAUGCGGGGUCCACAACUAUAUAUAACAAAUAAAAUUGAAUUAUGCAUAAUAAAAUAAAUUUUAUGAAAGGUAAGACAUACCUUAAUUAGCUUUGACUUGGAGUUAAUCCCUUUCACCAACAAAUUUUCAAAAUAAAAAAAUUUUGCUAGAUCAUAUAAGAAUUUUGAUGUAUGAAAUGGAAUGGAAUGUGGGUAUUUAUAGGAAUUUUUUGGUCAAACUACUCGUUGGAUGGUCAAAUAGCCGUUAUAAAUUAAUUUUAACCGUUGGAUCAAAAUUUGGUUCAAAUUUCACCAUUAGAUCUUCAUAUAACCGUUGGAAACACUCCAUAGCCCUUGGAUAAAGUGAAGAUUGAUUUUCCACCAUUGGAUCACAAAUCUGACCAUUGGAGGCCUUUAUAAACACACGGGUGAAAUUUGGGCCAUCAGAUCCUCAAAAAUUCAAAUUUGGCCGUCAGAUCAAAAUCCUUGAAGCUGUAAAAAAAUCACCGAUUAAUCGCGAUUUUCUCGGCAAAAAAUCGUUGAUAUAUCGGUAAAAUAGCUGAUUUUUUGGGCUCCUCCUCCGGCUUCUUCGUGCGUGCCUCUACUCGCGAUUUUUCGUCGAUUUAUCGGUGAAGCACCGAUAUUUGGCCGAUAUAUCGGCGAUUUUGCCGAUUUUUCCGUCGAUUGAUAAUCGGUGACGAUUAUUAUUUCGGUGCCGCCCAAUAUCCGAUAUUUCUCCGAAAUAUCGAUGAUAUAUCCCGAUUUUUCAAUCCCUAGUUAGACCCUUAGAGGGAUUUUAAGUAGAGAGGGCCCGAGCUUGACAUUUCUCCUCCACCUCAUUCAGAUGGUAUUCAUGUUGAGACCACUUUCUUAGAGCCUAUGAUGAUUGAGUCGUCUUACACUACAGGAGCAUCAUCUCAGCCAUCAUUCACCGAGCUUCCUCACACAGAGAUACCAUCUCAGGCACCUCACGCUUCUGAUCAUGCCCCUUGGAUGGAUGUAUCAGCUCAUAUCAGCUUCCUUGGGACUCCUAUGGAGGAGCUUGCUUUAGUCAAUGAUACUCGAUUCUACUCUAUGGAGGAUCACAUAGAUCAGUAUCAGACUGGCUUCACUUCUCGUUUUGAGCACUUCCAGCAGAGAUUUGAGCGUAUAGAGGAGCGUAUGGAUCAACAGCAGGCUACAGUUGAGCAUCUCCAGCAAAGUAUUGAGCGCAUUGAGAGUCGCCAGGCGAGUUAGCAUGAGGAGAUGAUGGCUUACCUCCGCUCCGUGUUUCCAUCUUCACCCCCUCAGCCUUGAGUUUAUCUAGAGUUCCCCCUCAAUUUCUUUUUUAUGUUGCUAAAGGGGGAAAAAUAUCUAGGAUCUAGGAAACCCUCAUGCAUAUCAUUGUCAUAUCUAUCUUGAUUAGCAUAUAUGUUAUGUUUUCGUGUACAUGUGAGGUUACCAUAUAUAUGAUAUGCUAUUUUCAUGAUCCAUUGUUUCCUAUUCAAUUUUUCAUGCUUUACAUUGUUUCCUAUUGAAAAUUGAUUGAUUGAUCCAUGAUUGGUUUGAGGGGGAGAUUUUUUUUCUCUCCUAGAUAACCAAGGUUGGUCAUCAUAAAAAAUGGGGAGAUUGUUAGCCUAAGGGCUCUCCUAAUCGGGUUUUGAUGAUAACAAACCAUGGUUAAAUGACUAAUUGGUUUAAUGGUUAAGAAUCUCAGGCAUAAACUCGAAAAUUCAUCAAAUGACCAAAUGGAUACAAGAUCGAGACAUUUGGAAGACUUGUGAUCAUAGGAAACUAAUGUAAGAUAAAUACAUGAGUGCACUUAGGAUUUUCAUACCGUUUCAUGCAAUUUAGAAAACUCGGUUUAUUUUUUAAAACUUCGAUUUCAUUAAAACCCGAGUUUUAACAAAUGUACCUUAGGCAAAAUGUUUUAAAAUUGGCAUAAUAAUUCACCUAAAAACCUUGCCUAAGUGUUAGAAAAAAAAUGAAUUCAAAAAGAUAGGUUUUUAGGGCCAAAAGGCUCAACCGGUUGGAGAACCAGUCGACCAAUUGCCCUUCUCCGGUCGAGGAAUGCACAAAAUUUUCUCUCUCACAGUAGCCUUCUCUUCCCAGUCGAGGUUAUUCUCUUCCCGAUUGAGAACUGGUCAAGGUCCGGUCGAUGACCGGUCGAGGCAACGGUAUCCUGUCAAGCAUUAAAUGCUCCAACGGCUAGUGAACCGGUUGACCCCUAGUUCGAUCGGUCGAGGUUACCUUUUGCUGUUUUUGGCUCCCGAGCUUAGAAACCUAUAAAUUGAGAGCUCCACUUCAUUUAUUGACGAGAGAACACUUGCAACUAAUUGUCUACCUACCUGUUCUUGAUCAAAAAGCUUUCAUUUCUUUCUUAGUGCAUUAAAUCUUCAAUUGCAUAUCCUUUAGUGCACUCUUGUGUGUCAUCCUAGCUUUGUCUUAUAUUUGAGCUAUCCUUAAGCUAGGUUGAGGGAUUCAUUCUUGUAAAAAUCGAGUGUUAAAGCCUUCAAGAGGUUUAAAUCUUGAAGAGAUUGUGUAAGAGCCCAUUGGAGCCGGAAUCCAAGUGUAAGAAGAUUGGAAGCUUGGUUGAAACUUUAAGUUAGUGGAACCCUCACUCAGUUAGGAGAUUGAGGAGAGUGGACGUAGGCAAGAAAGUGCCGAACCACUAUAAAAUCCGAGUUUGAAUUCUUUAACUCUAUUUCUUUAUUUUGCUUAUAUUUUGCUUGAACUCGUUGUGAUCGAAAAGAAUUUAAAAAAUCCAAUUCACCCCCUUCCCCUCCUUUUGGGUGUUUUUCUUAAUUAAGCAUAGCCUAUAUUUUCUCAUAAAUAAUCUCACAAAAUCCUAGUACAAACUUUAGCCUCAAAUUAUACAAGAUAAACUAGGAUUGAAUGGUGCACUAAUGAUAUGUAAGUUUUAAAACAAUGUGUACUAAAAAACACUCCCCUAAGGCUCAAUUAUAUUCAAGAAAGGUUUAAGAAGGUUAAACUCUUGAAACUAUAAAGAUUGAAGCGUUUUUAUAGAAGAGAAAAGCCAAACUACCUAUUGGGGGUUCGUCUGGUCGAGCUCUGGUUCGACCAGUUCACUAGCCAUUAGCAUUUAAUGUAUGAUAGGUGACCAUUGGGCCUUGACUGGUACUCAAUUGGAUGAAGUUCAACCUUGAUUGAUCGAAUAAGCAUUAUGGAAAAGAGAUAAGGUUUUUGCACCCUUCAACUGAGUAAGUUGAAUAAGUCGACUAAUUCCUCAUUCAAUUCAACCAAUUAAGUCAUUUUUUGCUAAAAAAACCAUCAUUUUCAACUUAAAACCUUUUAAACAAGUUUGGAAAGCAUUUGACAUAAGGUUUUAGUUGAAAACAUGAAAUCAUCCAAUUUUUAAAAGAUUUAAAACAAAAUAACUCUUGAAUGAUUUUAGUGUAUAAGUAAAGAAUGUAAUGCAUGAAAAACCCCAUGCACUAACAACCUUACAAAGAGAUCCUAUGAGGCUUAGGUCUUGAAAAAACACUUAUCUUUAAGGUUUUCUUCUUCUUAUUGAUUUUAUCUUUGUGAUUGCCACUUUGGAAAUCAUCUUGCCUAGUCACACUUAAAAUAUAAUCAUUAGUUCUAAACCUUGUUUUGUUAUCAUCAAAACUAAGAUUAACCAAACCUUGGUUUCACAGUAUGAAUAUUGUAUCUUUAGAUCUAUAGUUAAUAGUGGUUUUUAUAGUCAUAUGUUUCUAUUGUGAUAAAUUUAGAGAUGCCUAGGGAUAGAUGAAUGCACCCUAUGAGAUCUAGUGCAUAUGAAUGGAGUAAUCUGGGGUUCCUAACAUAGUUUAGGCUUGUGCUUCAUAGAGCGAUAACAAUUCUUCAAGCAUAGUUAUGCUUUAGAAAUUUGUUAUUGAUUGGUCCAAUUUUUAGACCAUCUUUAGCAACAAUCUUGUGGGCACCAUUGAUAUAAACUUGUUAUACAAAAUAUGAUCUAUCACAUUUUUGGCAAGAACUUUCCACUAGUUUUGUGCAUGGUAAUGAUCAUGCAUGCAAACUUAACUAAGUUAUACACUAGAUGCCAAACUACUACAAUUCUUAUACACCUUCCCAUUUUGUGCAACCGAACAAUUCAACAUCAUAACACCAAAGUUCUUGCUUAGAUUUCCUACAGUGCUAAAAUUUUGAAAUGAUUAAUUUUUUUAUUUUCCUUUCAAUACCAAGACCCACAUACAUCAUGUCAUGCCCUAAGACCCACUCUAAGGGCAUGACAAUCAUUUCACAUCUCAAGGUAGAAAGCUCAAAGUGUAAAUUGACCUUAACAUUCAUUUUGUAACUGGAAAAUUAUCAAUUACCAAAUUCAUAUUCAAAGUAGUAGAAUAAAAUUCUAUAAGUUUCAAAUCUCAACUUUAAAGCUAACACAUCAACUAAAGUGUUAUUGUCCAAACAACUUCAAACUUAACAAUUCAAGCAAUCAUUAAAUUCUAGCUUUCAAAAAAAUAAAGUUUUAACCAAAAGUCUUAAUAUUGCCAAAAUAUCAUCCUAACGAUCACUCCUAGCCCGAAUUAAGGUGCCUAAAAAAUUGUCAAUGAAAGGAAAUGAGAUCAACGCUCAAUAAGGAAUAUUAACAAAGUUUCAUGGAUCAAACAUUUUUAAUUAUAAUUCCAAAUAGGAGAUAUAAUAUAUAAUCAUUUUCAUAAAAACUUUUGAGUUUAAAUAUAAUAAUACAUUCAAAAAUUUUUAGCUAAACAUUUUCAUAUCUAUGUCAAAACAAUUUCAUAUCAAAUUCAAAUCAAAUAUAUACAAAAUAUUUUUAUUUUGGUUAUCAAAUAUCACAUGGUGUCAAGUUAGGUGGGACUUUACAAAUUGGUGUCUAGCCUCAAAUUUUUUCAUUUCAAGGUGGAUGAAACCAAACACUACUAGUAUUAUUAACAUCUAACCAAAUGCCUAAAGGGUGGAAUCUAAAGCAAUUACAUGCCCCGCCAAGAAAUAUAAGGUCAACAAUUAUAACUAGUUAACUAAGGACAAAAAUAAACUAGAGUCAAACACCUUAUUUCAUUAAUUCAAACUUACAAAACAAAAACAUCAUAUCUCCAUAAUUUUCAUUUUUUAUAAACAAAAGAAAUGUUCUAACAUAUUUUUUUCAUGAAAAAUAUAUAUUUGAUCCAUGCAUAAAAAUAAAAAUAAUUUUUUUUAUUAUUCAAAAUAACAUAUAAAAGUAAAUAUGUUCUUUUGGCCAAAACAUGUAUUAAUUUUUCUUACCUCAAAGAAACACUCAAAGACCUUGAAGCAAUUAAUCCUGAAGAAUUUCACCCCAAAAAACAUAUUUCAUACCUUACAAAAAAAAAACAAAAAAACAAAAUUACUAUUGAUUAUUUAUCUAAUAAUAGUUUCGUAUCUCAUAUCACCUAUAUUAUUUUUAACUUCCUAAUAAAUAACAAUUUAAUAAGUGAUUUUCCAAAUUUUAAAAAGUUAUGUUCUUUCCAAAAUUUAUUCAUAAUAUUCUAUUAUUAUUAAUUAAAUCUCUCAAAAAUAUGUUUUUUCUAUUUAUUGCAUUAAACUAUUAUUAUUAUUAUUCAAUUUCAAUUUGAUUAAUUGGUUUUUUCUUUUAAAUUUUUAAUUUAUAUAAGAUUCUUGUUUUGAAAAUCUUCCAUAUUUACUUAUUUGUUUAAAGUAAAUUUCUCCAAAACUUGUUCCUUUUUGUUAAACAAAUAUCUUUUCCUAUUAUUAUUAUUAUUAUUAUCCCUAAUAUUAUAUUCAAAUAACUAAACAAUAAUAAUUUAAAUUAGUGAGUUUCCAAAUUUUUAUAAAACUCAUAUUCAUUCUAAAUCUUAUCAUAUAUAUCUAUUUCUUUUAUAUAAUUAAAUUAAAUUAAAAAUUUUACUUAAAUAUAUAUAUAUAUAUAUAUAUAUAUAUAUAUAUAUAUAUAUAUUAUAUUAUAUUAUUACUUUCAACAUCCUUCUACCACCGAAACAAUUACCUCAAGUAAAAGUCAUCUAUCCUUAUUCUACUAACUACCCUCUCUCUUGCAAUAGCACACUUAGGGAUGGCAAUGGGGCGGGUUCAGGAUAGGUCACCCCCAUCCCAACUCCACCUUGUUUAUUCAAAAUAAUUAUCAUCCUCGUCCCAUUUAAAAAAUUAAAUGAGACGGGGCGAGUAUGAUAAAUUCUCAUACUCGCCUCGUCCUGCCCCGUUUAACUUUUUUUUGAAUUUAUUUAUUUAUUUAUUUUUAAAAUUACUUUUAAAAUUUUUAAUUACAUUAAAAUAAAUAUAUUUUAUAAAUAAUUAAAUAAUUAUAUUUUUUAUUACUUAUUUUAUUAAAAAUAUUUUAUUAUUAUCUAUAUAUUAAAAAUAGUAAAAUAAAAAUUAAAUUAAAUUAAUUUUAAAAAUUAAUUUUAUAUAUAAUUGGGGCGGGGUGGGACGGGGCAAUACCCAAACCUGCUUCGGGUUUUAAAAAAAAUUCUCAAACUUGUCCCAAACCCGUUUAUUAAAAUUGAACUCCGUCCCAUUAGGGACGAGGCGAGUACCUCGAAAAAACCUGCCUUAUUGUCAUUCCUAAGCACACUUUCAUUUUUUUUUUUUCAUUUUUAUUGCUUUUAUCUUUUUCCUCCCUAAGAUCAAUCAUAUUGUAAGCACCCCUUUUUUUUUUCUACCACAUCUUGUUGCAAUCAACCUUGUAAGUUUUUUUAAUUUAAAUUUUUUUUCCACUAUGGAGGCACGUACAACCAUAAAACCCCAUCUUUUUUUAUUUUAUUUUUACAACUCUCAAAUCUCUCAACCUCCAUACUAUUAGGUUUUAUUCAUUCAUUUAUUUAUUUAUUAUUCCAUAUCCAAAACUAUAAUUAAUUUUCUUUUAUAUUUUUUUAUUUUAGAUCUAUUAAUUUGAAUAUUCAAAAUUUCUAAUCUUUACUAAUAACUCUAAAGCAUUCAAAACUAAUUAAUAAAUAUAAAAUAUUAAUCUAAGGAUUAAAAUCUUAUAUAGAAAAUUGAUCUUCAAAUCUUAAACCCCCAAAUUUUCAACCUUACAUUGCGUUGUCUAAUAUCUCAAAUCUCCAUGUAAAAGGGCUUUUGAAUAGAGUAAAUAAGAAAAAUUUAAUUUAUACCUAAAAUUUUUAAAAUAGAGAAAAAUCUUUCUACCCUUAUUAAUUUAAUUUAAUUAAUUUUUUAAAAUUAUGUUUUUACCCUUUAAUUGGGUUUGGGCAUCACACAUCAUACUAAAAAGUUAUCAAUAACCGUCCUUUGAGGCAUAUUAGCAUAAAUUUGCAACUUUAGUUGUGUUCUAGGUGCAAUUCUAUUAUGUUUAAUUGAAAAAUAACACACAUAGCACAACCAAGCCUAAUUGAAAGCAUUUGGGCAAAUAAAUGGUAAAUUUCUAAAAGUUCACCAAAACAAAAAAAAAGAUCAUAGAGGGCAUAUUUUUCAAGUCAACCUAGUUUUGGGAUAGCCACUUUCAAGCCUAAUGAUGUUAAGAUGUCUUAUUGCAAUCCAAUCUAAGAAUGCAAUAAUAGCUCUUUAAUUCAUAAUUUUAAAUUCACAAAAGAUAUCACCAAAAAUUACCAUAGGUUACCAAAGCAUCAACAACAUACAGAAAGCUUAGAAAUGCUUGGAACCUAUCGGAUUUUCACUUUUUAGGAAUAAAAAAAAAAAUCAACUUUAAGGAUUUUAGGGUAAUACUUGCUUGAACCAUCUUUCAAUCCUUUUGUUGGUGGUGGGCCUUUUACCUAUAGGAACAGGAAUAAGAGGUGAAAAUGAGGGAGCCUUAUGAAAACAGAUCCCUAGGGCUUAAGAAGGGGUUUUCAAUUUUAGGGUUUGCCUUUUCACCAAGGAUGUGAAUGGGAAGAUCAAGUGAAGUUAAGAGAUUGGUGAAGCAAAGUGAGGGCAUGGUAGGGUUUGAAUAAGGGAAAUUCUACACUAUUAAUGAAGAUGAUAAUCUCGAGAAAGCAAAGCUAAGGUAAACUAGGGUUUUAAUAACAUUUUUCAAUCUACACUAGUGAAGACGAUAUCUUCGAAAACCAAAGCUAGGGUAAGCUAGGGCUUUAAUAAUGAAUUUCAAUCUACAAUGGUGAAGAUGAGAAUCUUCGAAAACCAAAUCUAUAAUGGUGAAGAUGAUUGAAAACUAAAUCUAUACUGGUGAAGACGAUUGUAAAGCAAAUCUACACUAGUGAAGAUGAUAAUCUUCGAAAACCAAAUCUAUAAUGGUGAAGAUGAUUGAAAACUAAAUCUAUACUGAUGAAGAUGAUUAGAAAGCAAAUAUUCACUGGUGAAGACAACGAAACCAAAGGUAGGUCUUCUAAACUAAACCCUUUUAGGGAUUUUCCAUUUUUUUUCCUUUGUUUUCAAGAAAGGUAAACUCUCUUGAAAACCAAAAAACUAAUGCAUUCUUAAAUCCAGAUCACCAUUUUCAACAUAGUAUUUGGAUUUCCACCUUGCAUUUUUUAUUUUUUAUUUUUUUUAAUAGUCAAGGGCAUUUUAGGGAUUAUUGAAGGAUAAUAUCAAUAAGCUCAAUUUCCUACAUUAGUUAGGUCUUAGGCUCAAAUGUGAAACUUAUAGGGAUGUUAGGCCAAUUAUCAAACUUACUUGCCUAAAGCAUAAUUUCCCCUUUUCAAAAUAGUUGUUAAACAUCAAUCCCAAACAUGUGUAACCCUUUGAAGUACUUGUAUGUCAACCUUGUUUCCUUUCCCUCAUGCAACAUGACUUAUUGAUGGUUGCAUUGAAUCAUUAUCAUUCACCAAAUCCAUGCAACUAUGGACUACCUUUCAAAUCCCUUGAACAUAAAUGGUAAUUCCAAAACAACUCAAGUAUAAUCUUUCCGGCCUUUCAAAUGAUUUAAUUAAUUGAUGUUUGAAUAUACUUCAUAUAUUUUUUUAGAGCAAUUUUUAGGCAUAUGACAUAAAUCUCUAAUUUUUUUUAUUUUUAUAAAAGGUUUUAUAUUUUAUAUUACAAUUUCCUCUCUUUUUUUUCAUCUAAAAAACAAAAUAUAAAACCUUAAUAAACGAGUUUUGUCACAAUCCCUUAAAAGGUAAUCUAUUUUUAAAAAUUACUUUAACCAUUUUAGAUAUAUUGAUUCAGUCUAAUUUAAUUUUAAUAUUUUUUAUAAAAUAUUUUUAUUUUAUAUGAUUAUAAAUUAAUUACCAUUGAUUGCAUAUUAUAGAAUAUAUAUUCUAAAAUAUAUCCUAUUGACAAUAAUAUCAUAAGAUAUUAUAUCCAUAUCCUAAUAUAUUAUAUACUUUUAUUUUGUGCAAUUAGCAACAGGGUGGAAGACGGCUUAGGCGGGAGACGGCUUAACGGAAAUGUCGUCUGCCAUGCGUGUCCCUUCCCUUAGUGAGUCUGAACAGCUCCAACAUUUCUGACACGCCCUUCUUCGGUUAGCUCUUAAGUAUUUUCGUUAACCCCAUCACAUUUCGCCAUGUGGAUCUAAGCCUCAUGGUCCUUUCGUUCGUACUAUGAAUAUAUUCCUUAUCUAGAGUCUGGAUCCUUUAUCUCUGCACGUGUCUAUGGCUCUUCACCCCAGCAAGUAUGGCAUUACAAGGGCAAUAUCGUCAUUAAAGACCCAAAAGGCAAACGAAUGGCAUUAUCUUCCUUUUGGGUCUAUUCUAUUUAUAUUUAUAUUGCAAGUUAUUCGUGAUGACUUCUCUCAUAACAGCUAAAAACCACUCCAACAGAGCACACUUCACUUCUUCGUUUUUGUCUUUCCUCUUUUUUUUCCAGAGAAGCUGAGAAAGCCCAGCUUGCCCUCAACUCCCCGAUGGGUUUGAUGAAUGUUCUCAAAUUCUCAGCUGCAUGCUUUGAUCUUCUUGGCUGGUAUGUUGUCCACGGAUUUUCUCGUCAUUGGAAAAUGAAGUGGAAUUCUAUGUUUGAGGACAAAACUGGGAUUUGCUUUGAUUUCUCCAUGUUGGUUUUAUCCCUUUCCUUUGAAUUGUCCACAUUCUUGUCAUUGGUUGUUAGUUAUUUGUUUGGAUUUCUACUUGCAGGCCUCUGUUUGCACUGGGUUAUCCUCUGUAAGUCUUGGUCUUACACCCCAAGAUAUGAUCAUUCAUUUACUCUUUUCUUGUUCUAUGAAUUCUUAGUUCUGUUACAUUUAUUGGGUUGGAUUAUUAGUUAUUAUAUUAAUAAUCAUCAACGUCAUCUCGGUUCUUCACAGAUGUGCUUCAAUUCGGGUAAUUGAGACUAACUCAAUCUCAGACGUUCGGAAGUUGGUGGCGUAUUGGGUUCUAUUUUCCUUGGUUUCACUCUUUGAUCAUACUUUUGCCAAGCUCCUUGAAUGGUAAUUUUGCUCAACUGCAUUCCACUAUAUGUGGCUCUAUUUCUUUCAUUUCUCUGCCCUUAAGGAAUUUGGAGUUGCUUUUUUCAGUUUUCUUCCCUGUGAAAAUAAUCGAGAUGUUUAAUGUUCCAGGCCUGCAUGCUCAAGGAAGUGGUGUCAGCUUUGGAAAUAAGAUGGAUCUACUAGUUUUUAUUUCUCAUCUUUAUAGGGAACUUUCCAUAAUCACAGUGAUGAAUAAUUGUCUUGUUUGAAAGCAUGGUUGCACUUAUUUCCAUGGAAUUUGUCUGCUGAGAAACAAAUGGAAAUAGAAAAUUCAGAAUCUGACAAGUUUGUGUAGGGCAACUGGAUCUAAUCUCUUAGUCGAAGCUUAAUUGGGGCAAAUGCUGAUCAUCUUUGGACCAUUGAAGGCUCUAAUCUGUGCACAAUUCUAAUGUUUUUGUUUUCUUCAUUUCUUUUUCAACUGUUCAUAAUAGAUGUCAAAAGAUAAAACCGAACUUAUGUAGUCCAUCCAAGUGGAUGCAUAUAAAUUUAACAGAAACUGAAAUUCGAAGAAAUUUAUUUAUUUUUUUAAAUAUUUUAUUUUCUUAUAUAAUGCAUGUCAGGAUACCAUUCUGGCCUUACAUAAAGCUGAUGGUCAUCUGCUGGAUGGUGAUACCGCAUUUUGAUGGUUCAUAUUAUGUCUAUCAACACCUAGUUCAUCCAUGCUUGUCCAUUGAUCCACAAGUUGUCAUGAAUUGGCUUUUCAAUGAAUCAAAAAAGAAGUUUCAUAGCAGAGAAAACUUUCUUGUUUCAGCAGACCAAUAUAUUAAGGAGAAUGGACCUGAAGCUUUGAAGAAACUACUUGCUAGGAAGGUAUGCCAUUAUAAGUAGGAUUAUCAACAAGUCAAACAGAGUUUUAUUUGAGAUGUUCAAGUAAAAAAUGACUAUAGCAGGUCAUCUAGAAUUAUGUGGUCUAAAUUCAUGUAUAUAUCUAUAUAUAAUUGUGUUCUCUUUUUUUCACAUAUGCAUGUGCAUUUAGAUUUACAUAAUUAUAUAUGCAUAAUCAGAUUCAACUGUGAUAGCCCGGGAUUUAAUUCAGUAAUCAACUCUUCUGGGAACAUGUUGGUUAUGGUUUCUCUCUCACUGUCCUCUUAUUUAUACAUGACUUUGGCUUCAGUUGAGGAGCACAAAGCCUAAUGUUGAAGUGAAAGAGAUCAAAGCACCUGCAGCACCGGAGAAAAAAGGGGAAGCGGUAUGCACUCUAAUGUGGCUAUUUUAUUUCUAUGGAGGCAGAUCCCCAGAAAAAUGUUGCUCAUGUAAAUUAGUGAUGCAUUUAAAAGAAAAACCACUUUAUGUAUGUUUCUGUGAAAAAGAGAACAAGUUUAUGGAUUAAGUGAUAUUUUUUAUGGUGAAAUAAUCAAUAAUUUUCAAAAUAAUAAUAUAUUCGUGCAUGUUUUUGCAAUUCAUGAAUUCCUUUUACGAUUGAUUCUUCUCACCUCAGUGGAAGUGUGAAGAGCCUAAUGUUGCAGAAAAGGAGAUCCAAGUAGUCAAAGUAACAGACAUAAAAAAUGGGGGGAUGGAGCAAAGAGGGUAAGUUUUCCUUUUUAUUUAUAAGGAAGGCUGUCUUCACACAAGGAUUAUUGUUAUUAUUUUUAAGACAUGAAUGUUGAAUGCAUUUGGAAUUGUCGUUGAAUCAUGUGAAGUGUGAAGGUGCAAAUGGUGCUAAGAAGGAGAUCAAAGUGAUGGAAGUAACACAGAUAACAUUUGGUGAUACAGAACAGUGGGUAAGGUUUCUUGUCAUACUUAAACGGCACCUCAUAUUUCACUAGGAUUAAUUUUGGCCUACAAACAUAUUUGGCUACAAGUUGAAGACAGAUUUCCAGAUACUGGUAGAAGUUGAGACAUAAGUAAUGAAUGAGUUUAGAAACAUGCACAACUCUUGUGUGAAACACAAUGAGAGUGGAAAAUAGCUAAGUUGAAAAAUGGCCAAAUACUAUUUUGUAGUUCCCCCCACCACUUAAGUAAUUUUUGUCAUCCUUUGUGAAUGGACAAUGCAGUCCCUUCAGUAAUUCCGCUAUAUUCAUGACUUGGUGAAGCAUAUAACCAUUAGUGUCUUGUCCUAAGUUGACCUUUAAUGAUGAUCCAUUGAGAGGGAUCUGACUUUUGUCAACCCUCUUAGAGGUUAAACAUACGGGGCUUAACCCACUUUUCAAUCUCAUUGGAUAUAUGGCACGUGGUAUCCUCUUCAUCUUGAAAGAGUGAAGUGGUCAUACUCUUUCCUCCGAGUCCAUCGUGGCCAUGCACUUCUGGCUCAUUGGGCUGAGUGAAAGGAUUCCCUUCUGCUUCAAAUCAUAGAGAGAUAUGCCAUGGUCAGCCUCUUUAAUUUGAAGGAUUGAAGUACUCAAAUCCAUUUCUUUGCAUCCAUCUUAGUCCUGCUUCCAUGUCUCAUGGUUAACCAGGAAGAUCAAGCUUCCAUCCAUGAGAUCAGCAUCUGCAGGGUUAUGACUCCACCCUUCCUUGGCAUAGGAAAGCGAUCAUUAAGCCACAUGUCGGAUGACAGAAGUCGUCAUUCAGGUUAUCUUGAGAACUAGGGAAGUUGGAAUUCUAAUUAUUGCAUAUGGUUCUUGAUGUUUAGCCAAUAUACUAUAGGAUUUUAAGCAUCAUGCCCAUGUGCAUUGUGGUUUUUUAUCAGCUAUAUGGUUUACCAAACUGAGGGAUUGAUUAUAGUCAUAAGUACCCUUUUCCCAUUAAUUUCUUGCAUGUGCUUUGCUGAGAUUAUGUUUUUGACAGUGCUAAUCAGGGCAAACCAACAAACAGCUUUAUGUUAACUUUUACAAACUGCCACAUUUUCAGGUUGAACGAUCAGACAUAAAUCUUGGUGAAACUAGAAGUAAUACAACCUGUGCUGUGGAGAUAAAAGAAAGGGCAGCAGCACUGGUGGCUGCAGAAAUUGAGGCAUGUAGAGACAAUAGAACCCCCGAGAUACCUCUGCAUAAGAAAGUCCAGAAAGAGUGGGCUUGUGCUGUAUGCCAGUUCACAACCCAAAGUGAAGUGACCUUCAAUUCCCACCUUCAAGGGAAGAGACAUCAGGCCACUUCUGAGCAGUUGAGAGCCAAAAACCAGGCAACCAAAACCAAUUGUUCCCCAUCUGCUUCAAAGGCCAAGAAAUCUGAUCAGUCCACCAAAGAGGAGCAACCAAAGUGUCCUUCCAACAAUCUGAAUUCCAAAAACAAUGGAAUCUCAGCUGCUUCAACAGUGAAGAAACCUGACGAGACCAAAGAUGAUGAGCAACAAAAGUGUGCAUCCAGCAAUGGACCAAACCAGAAGAAUAACAAAAAGCAAGAGGAGAAGGUGCUAGUUCUUGAGACCAAUGAGCAAGGCCAUCAGAAUAAUUUUGAUCCACGAUCCCACAUUUAUUUUGGGUCUCACAAGUUUCAAAUUUGCAGAAAAAUGAAAGAUGUUUGAGAGAAAAUUAAAUCAUAUUGCACUACUGUUAGGAAAAAUAUGGCUGAAUCCAAUUGCUUUUCUUCUCCAAGUCUAUUAAAAAUAUAAUUUUUUCUCCAUUCCUGACAAAAUUUAAAUUUUUUCCUUAAAAAAAAAAAAAUUAAGUUUGAUCACCUAACACAUCUUUCUAAACUCAAUCUCAACUUGAAAAAUCAAACCUUAAUGGAUGGACUAUAGAAAUAGUGAGAAAACACUUCUGGGGUUUUUUUUUUCUUCCAACAUCAAAUUUUUCUAUAUAUGGGAUUUCACAUGCAAAAGCAGGAGUAGAUUUGCUUGUGUUUGAUGUAUGUAUUAGAAAAAUUUGUCCCUUCUGGGAUGUUUAAUACUUUUCUAUUCUUUUAUAUGCAUGUUUAGCUAGAAGAUAUAGAAUCGAUACCAUUCCUUAAAAGUGAUAGCCACAACUGUGAUAAUUAAACACCAAAGAAUGUGAAGAUCUAUAUAUUCUUUUUUUUUUCCUCUCUCUUUCAAUAAUGAAGCUAAGAUGUGUUGUAAGCAUCAAAUGCAUUGUCUCUGCUUGAAUAUAUACAAAGCCAAGGACCACAAGAUGGAUAGAUAUGGGGACGCACAAAACUUCUCAAACAUGAUUAUAUUAAUCAAGAAUUCAACUAAGCUUAAAUUCAAGAUGUUGAUUUCUAGCAUCUCUGGUGCUAUAGGAUGACUAUUGAUCCUGUACUGUUAUGUGCCCUACUGAUAUAUUCUUCGGGUUGUUAUGUAUAAAUAAAAUUUUUGGGAAAGUUUGCUUGGUGGUUACACUAUCACUAUUUAGGCCAGUAAAAAUUGGAAGCCUUUGUAAAAAACUGAUGGUCCAAGAGCUAUUCUACUUCAUCAUCCAUGUAAUAUGACGAUACAAAUUUGACUAAAUGCAGCUAUAGAAGGCUUAGGACCAUAAACCAAGCCUAGUCGAUGUCACUCACCUAAAUUUAUGCAUAAAGCUUUUGGAUGGCUCAGAGUUAUAUUUAAUUACUGUUAUGUUCGCAACUAUAUUUUCAUUGGAUUUAUAGUCCAGCUUGAGAACUAGUCCUCCAUUGCACAUAAUGUCCACACAAGGCCACAGUGCCCGCUCAAAGGCCAUAGCGCUACUCAAGGAUAUAGUGCUUACUCAAGGCCAUAGAGCCCACCUAAGGCUAACGACCCAAAAGGAGAAAAAGGUUGGUUCCACGUACUCUAAUAUUUACUAGAAAAGGUUCUUCCUAUUAAAGAACAAAAAAUUGCAUUCCCUUGUGACCAAUCCAAACAGUAGACCACUGACUUGUAUAAGGCAUUAUUCACCAUGCAAGCACUUUUUCAGCAACCUACCAUCUGGCAUGAACCAUUUUGGAUUGAUUCACAAAGCAAUGGUGUUAUAUUAAGCAUAUUCAAUAUAGAACCAAAUUGUGCCUCCUUAGAUUAACUAAAAUAUUUCCAUUGCAAGAUGUGCAGAUAGGCAUAUGAUCAUGAAGUAAUUUCCUGAUGAUAAUACCCCACAAAAUAUUUCUUUUUCUCACUGAUCUCUCCUAGAUUUUCAGUUCACCCAUCCAUGGCGCCUGACUAAAAAUGGGGGCAUUUUGGAUACCCCGAGCAGUAAGUUAGCCUGGUAGGCAUCCCGUUGCAAGCAAAGUCAACCCGAGCGGUCCAUUUGACCAAAGCUUAUCCAGGCAGUAAGCGUCCAUAUACAGCUAACUGUUAUGCACCAUCAACAGGUUGAGGUUACAAGAUUAAAGAGUCAUAAUGGCCAAAUGGAAGUUACACGACUCGGCCUAUAUAAUAACAGUAUGACAAAAAAUGCAGGUAUGAAGAACUAUCACUGAAAAAAUUUAUUCCUAAAAAUCCUUUAAGCUCCUUUAAGCUAACUUGGGCAUUGGAGAGGUCUCUCCGAAGCACACUCGAGCUUACCUUUUUGUAAGACAUCGAGAACAAGAGGCAUUGAAGUGAUUGUCCGGAGGGUUGAACUUGGUCGGGAACCAACAAUACACACUAUUCAAAAAUAGGGAUCAUAUUAAAUUAUUAAUGCAACCAUAGGAAGCAAUUGAGGACAAGGGUGUUAUUUGAUUAAAAGGGUAAUUGAAAACCUAAAUUUUGAAAUUUAACCCUCCAUUCUAUUUGGCCUUAUGUGAACAAAAAUGCCUUCAUUAUUUUCUUGUAAAAAUAACUCACCCAUUUAAACCUUACAUGAAAAUACUUAAAAUGGUAAAUGAUAUGUUAAAAAUUGAUUAUUUUUCAAAUAAAACAUAAGAAGGGUCAAAUUCAUGAAAGGAUUAUUUCAUCCCUUUUAAUCAAUUAAUUCGAUUUAUUUCUUUUUAUUUUUUUUCUCUCCAUGUUAAUUUUCACAUCACCCAACAACACCACUCUUAAUUCACACAAGUUUGAAGUUUUUGAAUGAGAUAUAUUCGUAAUUAUAUUGUAAUUGUGUUAUAAUAACCAUUUCGUACUUGGAUUUGUUCUUUCAGUCCAUUUAACCUUUUUGUUUAUUCAUGUCAAAACAAUGUACUUAUAAUCGAAUCCAUUUAUGACAUGUUGAUCUUAUAUAAAUUUAUUAAUUUUAUAUAUUUAAAAAUUAUAAAAAUUAAAUAUACUUUUUCAAUUAUGAAUAUCAUAUUACUAAAAUAUUAAAUAACAAAUUAACUUGAAAUGCUAUAUAUUUCAUUAAUUAUUUUAUAAUUAAAACAUUAAAUGAAAUAAUAAACAAGUAUAAAAUAGAAAAUUCUAUCUUAGUUAGAAAUUAUAAACUGUUAUUGAGACAUAUAAGUAUUAAAAUUCUACCCAUUUCACUACCAAACAACUUAUGUUUUUAGUCAUAAUUUAACCUUAUGAUGAACACUUAAAUAAAAUUUGUCAUCUUUUUCUAUUGAUUUAUAUUUAUUUAUUUAAAAAUUUUGUCUGGCAUAAACUAUCAUCUCACAAAAUCAUCAUUGAUGAGUAGGCUAUGCCCCAGUGUAAGCAUCUCCAAAUCAAACAUCAAUGAGAGGAGUACAACCAAUCAUACAUCAUCUUAUCAAAAUGAAUCUCCGCUUUUCAAAGUCAUCGUGGUAACGUGAAGAGAGUAUUUGACCUCCUCUAAAGAAAAAACAUGUCUUGAUGUGAAAAAGAUCAAGCAAAGUGGUAUGCCUCAACAAAAAUGUGCUCAAACAUGAUCAUGCCCCGAUGUAAGUUAGUAUCUCUAAGAUCAAUCGCCAAUGAAAAGGUUAUUCCCCAGUAUAGGGCAAACUCUGAAAUGACUAAACUCCGUUGCAAGCUCUCAUAAGUGUCUGUGUCAUGAUCCAAUCAUCGCAAAAAUUUGUCAACAAUGAUGAGAAGGCUAUGCUCCUAUAAUCACAUCAAAGAAAUCACUCGGUCAUAUUACUCCAAUGUGAAAGAAAUCUAAUCACCUCCAAGGAACAGCUAUGCCUCAAAACCAUCAUCGACUGAGAGGGGGAUGCCCCUGAUCCAAUCACCACCCUAACUAACGUACCCAUCAUGAGGAACACUUGUUUGAGCUCCAUAAUGGGGAUCAACCAUUAGAUGAACAAGAUUCGAAUAUUACUUGCUCCCCAUUUCAACCAAUGAAUGAUGUACCUGGAAACCUUGUAGACAACCAUAGUUUUCAGCCUUCUUCCUCGCGAUCAUCUAGAACAGAGUCGGUAAGCUUCACUCAUUUCUUAUAAUGGACCUUGACCCACAACGUCGAACUACCUGUAUGCAAAAUUAUCCGUCCAGAAAACCCAUCCAUACAAUUCAGGUUCAAAACCCACAAGAACCACCCUAUGAAUAAACUAAUUAUAGCUGGCUUCGUUGCAAUAGGCAUUAACUUUCUUAUGCUGACAGUCCUAGCAUCAUUUACCAAAGGAUCAACAACUUUUCCAUGUCAGAGAACAUUAUCAAUCACAAUGACACCCCUGGUCCUCACUAGUUGCGAUAGCAAUUUAAAGUAUUCUUGAUUCAAAGGGUAAACAAAACAAAAAAGAAAACCCUAAGUGUGACUCCUUAUUUGAAAAAUGUGGUUUAUGAAAAACCGGAUCGAGCUUAGGGGUCAGGUUACUUAUCGGGAAGGUACAAAAAAAACCGUAGCACCCCUCUAAGUCCCUAAAAUGGGUCUCUAUUGAUAAAAUGAAGCAAUCAUGGCAAUUGGUAAGGAAAUCAUUGAGUAUCAACAUGAUCACACAUUGAGAGUUAAAGCAUGCAUGAGGAAUGGUCAAAGUGAGAAAGGAUGCGUACCUUAGCAACGAGUCCCAAUGCGCUAUCAAGAAAUUGGGUUAGUGCACAAUCAAUAAAUAUAAAAUAUAACACACAUGCAUCACUAAAUAGGGUAAUAAAUCCCCGAUGACAAACCUUGCACUUCACUCAGGUUUAUUUCUACUUCUCUGAUGUUGGGCCCCACCAAAGCUCAUUUUAUUUUGCAUGAAUCAACUCCAAUAACUCCAUUAUUCGGAAUUACGAAAUUUAAUUCUUGCUUAUUUUAAAGCAUUUUAAAAAUAGAGGAGAUAUGAGAAUUGCUCGCCAGAAAAGAAGAUGGCGGCAAAAUUUUAAUGAAAAACGAGUUUUUGGAACCUAAGAAAAAUGUUAAGGAUGGAAAAUUUUGGAGGUUUGAAAUUAAUUAAAAAUUAGAAUUGAGGAAUUUAUUUACAAAAUGGGGUUUAGGAAAAUUAUUUUCAAAAAAAAAAAAUGAUGAAAUGAGAGAUGGCACGUGACACAAGGGUGGCCAUGCUGAAGGCGUUCUCUUCUGGCCCAAGCUGGAAAUGCACUCCAAUUAUCCUUCUUUUCUGGUAUAACACCUUCAUCAAAAUAAAUAGCUUUUGCACCAUACUCUGAUAGACAAGGACCAAUAACAAUGCCUAUAUUUGCCUUAAGUAGACAAAGUAAGUCACCCAUUGAACCUCCAAUAUAAAUUGUCAAGUGCUCUGUGUCAUUACUGCAUCCCUCCUUCAAGAUGUCCUUAGAAACCUAAAGCUUUUCCACGACAUACUCCAUCUUCUUAAUGAUUUCACCCGUGGAAAUGGAUUCUUCACAAGCCAACUCAUUUGAAUAUACUCUCAAAACACCCAUAUCACCUGAUGAAAAUGCUGAUCUAACGAAAUCGCCACACCAACAGUAUGAAAGUCCAUGAACAUCUGCUUUCAGAUUAUUAUUUUUAAGAAUCUUUUGGAAGAAACCUGUGCAACCAUCUUGAAGAAUUAGACCUUGACCAACCUGUUUUAUAUCAUCUGAAUUUAAACCCUUCAAUACUCCAGACUGAGUCACUCUUGAAUCUGCCUUUUCCUCAAAAUCAGAAAGUUGCUCAAGUGCUUUACAUAAGCCUUCAUAAUUGAAUUUUUCCACUGUUUCACUGGGGACGAUGCUUCCCAUGCAUUUUUCAAGCUCUUCAGUAUGCUGGGUAGAUAGAACACCCCAUGUGUGUGUCCAGAUCACCAUGAGUGACCAUUUGAACCUUGACGAAUGAGAGAGUACAUAACAUUUAAGCACACAGGACAUAUAUUAACAUUCUCCAUUAGCUUCUCUUUGCCUUUGUCCACCUCUUGACCUCCCAUGCAGCCAACUGUGAAGACCACGUCCAGGUGCAGUCACGUGGUGACACAUCUCAUGGUCUUCCUCAUCCAAUAAAUCACAUGCUCUGUUAAAUCUGCUACCCGAAUGGAUACCUCCUAUCCAUCAACCUGAAUAUACUCCGAGCUUUCUUCAUAAAACCCAAGAAACUCCAGAAGGCAUCAUGGUUCUCCUCCAUCAUUGAAAUGAUUAGGGAUAGUAAAUCACUCAUCCCUUAGCAAUAUCCCAUUUUUAAACCAUAGGGUGCGUAGGCUUCUAGAAUAGUAGCAAAGUGAGCAACACGGAAAAUCUUGCGUGGAUCCAAGUUCCAUGAUGGUGAUCGUAGCCUCACCUUUGAAAUCACAAGACCCAGAACCCAUUCGUUCUUCCUGGUAAUAACUAUCAGAUGCAUAGGAGGCAGGGUUCUUCAGAUUGUUGAUUUGGUAAAAGCCUCUUCUGGUUGAACCCCUGAAUGAUUCACUUUUCUCAGUCCGCAAACCUAGUUCAGAACAGCCCGCAAGAUCAGAACCUUAACCUAGGCGUGGAGAUCCAGUGUUGUAUAACGCCUCAAUUGUCGGAAGCAGCCAUGGCCCAAACAAUGAUAUAAUGGUCAGCAAGUUGUCCCCAAGGACCAUGACAGUGAUGAGCAUUUCCGGGCAGCGCGUCACCACGUUCCACGUCGCGACGGUAAUGGCUAUGGACUGAGUGUCAUGGUCAGGGAGCUUGAUGAAGCAGGUGAAAAUCUGGUGUUUUAGAUUCUGAGGCAAUGACUGCUUGAUCGGUCGGAUUCUAGUACCGGCGUUACAUUGGGGAGGCAAUCUUAAAGUUCCAACGGAGGUAGUAGUGGACUAAUAUUCCUCAAUAACCAAACUUGAGUUUCUCACUUUCCGCUUCUCAAGGCAUUCACCUGAAACGCUUCAGGCGCCCAAACCCUUUCUGCUCAUCAGUAUAAUCACGCGCAUGAAAGUCUUAACUGCCUUCUAAACUUCACAACUUCAUCUUGCAUCUGGGUCAUCGUCGGCACGAACUUAUCACCUGAUUCAGUUAAUAUCCCCAUAUAACAAGUUCCAAUGAAGUCGCAACUUUGCAUCUUCUUUUCUGCGAUUACUUUGAUUCUCAAAGCCGAUUACUUGUUGCAGUCCAUAGGAGAUUCAAUAAUCAAACAUCAUGCACAAGCAAAAAGGCAACAAAAUACAUCGGCAUGUGGCCCAUACACCCUCCAAAAUCUUCACUCAUUUAGUAAGUUUUAGAUUCAAAAGAGUUAGCCUUCUGGUGAGCAACCCGAUACCCAUAACGAAUGAUGUAUCUGAAACACCUUUCCCACGUGGCCCUUGAAGGAUUCACUAGAAGGUGACCAUGCAUAGUAGGUCUUCACUCGCAGGAGAAUGAGAAGGAAAUAAACCUAAAGGGGGGUUGACAGCGUAGUCUAGAAGGUGAUGAGCUGAGCGGGUGGGGGUAUUAGGGUGGUCAAGUUCAGUGGGUAUGAAGGGUGGAAAGAUGGCAUGAUAGAGGAAUAAGCAGCUGAUAGUGGGUGCGAUGAUAUAAGGUAGGUUGACUAUGGAGAGUAUGGCAUUAAAGGAUGAAGACUUAGAGAGAGAGAGGUGGGUUUAAGGGUAUGGUGAGAUGGAGGGUUGAGGGUGAUAGGCUUGGAUAGUUGCAUGAGGAGGAUGAAAGGUGGGUAUGGAAAAUGUGCAUGGGUAGGAAAUGGGUAUAACAAUGGGUGUGAAUAUUGAGAGGUAGUGAAAUGAAGGCAGCCUUGCUCGUAUGGAUCAGUGUCGGAUUGAGUUAAGAAUGGUGAGAGAAAGGGAUUCGAUGAAUAUUGAAUGAUGGAAAAUGGUGAUUGGUUAGAUAGGGAUUUGUGGUCGAAUGGAAAUAGGAGACAUGAACAUAGAGAUGAGUGUGAUGGAUGAUAGUGGGCAUGAAGGGUAUUGGAUUUGUUCAUGGGUAUAGUGGUUAAAAGAGUGGUGAGAAGAAAAAAAAAUGGCCAUGUAAAUAGCAAUUAUACAUGUGGGCCCGUGAUUGCAAACGGGACUGCAUUGUUGCAUCUCAUGCUGAACCCUCACCUCCUUCUAGGAUCAUUUUCUGCAUCAAAGCUAGAUAAACUUAGAUGGUAUUUCCUGCCAAUUUUGGAUGCCCCCCACUUUGGAAAUAUUUCCUUUUCACCCAUCAGAAUAUGCUUAUCAGGUGUACUUGACUCAGGUUCAUUCCCAUAUUGCCUCUCUGAUUUAUGAUCUUCAAAGGUUUUGCAUGAAGGAAGCCUUUCACUGCAUUCCCCUUCAUCCACCAGACCUUCAGAGCAUCGUUUCCAACAAAAGCAACCUUGACUCUUCUAGUCCCAUCAGAAAAAAGUCUGAAUAUCCUCAGUUUAUGUCAUCCCUUGAUGCCCAACUCAGAAAUGAUCCAAAAAACAGUCAUCUCCCAUAUUUGGCUUCCCAGAAACACCUCGACUCAGAUGGCCAGUCCAAAUGUGAUACCCAACAUUCUAAAAAUGCUAAAAACAGAGGAGAUGAUGAAGAAAAACAGAGCAUGUAUAAAAGAAAAAAAAAAGGACUGUUAAAUCUCACUCCAUUCCAUAAAUGCUAAUGGGGUGGAUAUGGUGGAAUCAAAAGGAAGCAAGAGCGUGAUCUUCAAAAUCAAAAGCAAUGAUGGAUCCAUAUUCAAAACGUUCCAGAAUAGAGAAAGACACAAAUAAGGAGCAGGGUUUUUUUUUGUUACUGGCAGGAAGAUAUUUUUUCUAGAGAGUAACUAGAGAGAAAAAUAGGAAGAAAAGGGAAGAGCAUAGAAGACAUCUACAUAGGAGAGUAUUCAUUGUUGUGAGGAGUAGUAGAGAGCUUAGGAGGAGUUACAAAGAGAGUGAGUUUGGUUAGAGGAGGAAGUUUUGUUGGUUUUUCAGAAAGGAUUCUAGCUUGAGUGAGAGCCAUUCUAGAGAGGGUUAGAGAGGAGAAAGGUGUGUUUUGAGCAGCAAAGACACGAAGCAAAAUAGAGCAGCCAGGAAAGAGAAGCAGAAAAUCAAAAUUACUAAAAAAUUAGUGAAAGCUGUGAAAUUUCAUAUUGUUACUAAUUAUUAUAAUUUUUUUUUGUAUUUUCAAUAUUUCAACCAAUAUUUUAUAUAAUUAAAUUUAAAUUAUAAGAAUUAUAUUAUUAAUACACAUAACUAUCUUAAUGUUUUAACAAUGUAUACUUAUUUAAAUUUAUUUCAAUUUUUUUAUUUUUUUAUAAAUAUCUAAUUAGACUUAUAAUUCAUUGAAAUUAUUCAUUUUUUUUUUACUUCAUAAACCAAUUAUAUUACUUUUUGUAUUUUCAAUAUUCAUUUGGAAAAAAUAAUUUCAAUUUAAAAUAAAAUAAAUUAAUUAACUCUCAAUUUAUAAAUUGUGUCAUUGAAUUAUUUUUUAUUUAUAAUAUUUAGUUUAUUUUAAAUUUAAUUUUUUUUCUUCACCUUUUGGUUUAUCACUUUAUAUUAAAAAAUAAAAUAAAAUUGAAUUUCUUUUAAUUUAUAUUUUCACAAAUUAUUCAAUAUUUUUUUAAUUUUUAUAAAAUAAAUCCUCAGAUUAUAUAAUUGGAUGUUGUAAAGAGUUAAAAUUUUUGUGUUGCAUUGAAUUAUUUUUUCUAACAAAAGUAUAUUUGGGUACCGUAGACAUUAUAUCCAUAUCUUAACGUAUUAUAUACUUUUAUUUUGUGCAAUUAGCAAUUGAGCGGAAGACGCGGAGCCGGCUAACGGAAAUACCGCGUGUCACGCGUGUCCCUUCCCGUACCAAGUCUCAACUGCUUCAAGAUUUCCGACGCGCCCUUCUUCGCUUAACUCUUAAGUCUUUUCUUCCACUCUUCCUUAAACCCAUCACAUUUCGCCGCGUGGACCUAAGUCUCAAUGUCCUUGUGUUCAUACGAUGUAUGUUCCCCCAAUUCCUCAUCUACACUGAAACUCCAUACUCGCCUACUCAAUCACUUCUCUACUCUAGAGUCUGGAUGCUUAUCUCUGCGCGUGUCGAUGGCUCUUCACCCCAGCGAGUAUGGCAUUACAAGGGCAAUAUCGUCAUUAAAGACACAACAGAGUGUCUAUUUUAUUUAAGCUGUACGUAAUCGUGAUUGACUUCUUAGUAUCCUUUUGCUCCUAGUCUUCUCCCGCGUCUCUUAUAAAAACUAAAGAAAACCACUCCAAGAGAGCACACUACAAGAAUCUUCUUCCUUUUUUUCUUUCCUCUUUCUCUUUACAGAUAAACUGAGAAAGCCCAGCUCAUCCCUCAAUUCCCAGAUGGGUUUCAUGAAUGUUCUCAAGUUCUCAGCUGCAUGCUUUGAUCUUCUUGGCUGGUAUGUUGUCCACGCGUUUUCUUGCCAUUGGAAAUUUUUGGGAAAUGAAGUGGAAUUCUCUGUUUGAGGACAAACAUGGGAUUUUCUUUGAUUUCUCCCUGUUGGUUUUAUCUAUAUUCUUUGAAUUACCCACAUUCUUGUCAUUGAUUGUUAGUCAUUUGUUUGGAUUUCUACUUGCAGGCCUCUAUGUGCACUGGGUUAUCCUCUGUAAGUCUUGGUCUUACACCUCAAGAUAUGAUGAUUCAUUUACUCUUUUCUUGUUCUACGAAUGGUUCAGUUACAUUUAUUGUGUUGGGAAACUGAAAAGGAAAAGGAUUAUUAGUUAUUAUCGUAAUAAUCAUCAACAUCAUCUCGGUUCUUCACAGAUGUGCUUCAAUUCGGGCAAUUGAGACUAACUCAAUCUCAGACUUUCGGAAGUUGGUGGCGUAUUGGGUUCUAUUUUCCUUGAUUUCACUCUUUGAUCAUGCUUUUUCCAAGCUCCUUGAAUGGUAAUUUUGCUCAACUGCAUUCCACUAUAUGUGACUCUGUUUGUUUCAUUUCUUUGCCCUUAAGGAAUUUGGAGUUGCUUUUUUCAGUUUUCUUUCCUAUGAAAAUAAUCGAGAGGUCUCCAUGUAUUUUAUAUUCCUUCAUUUCUCUGCUUUGACAAAGGCCCACAUUCUGAUCAGCAGAAAGGUUAUAACAUUUGAAAAAGAAGUGCUUUAUUUUUGUUUUUUGUUAGUACAAUAAUUUUCGUUUGGAUAAAUGGUCUGAAGGGUGUUUGUGUUUGGCUGAGUUCAUGGAAUUUUCUAGCUAAUUUGGGAUUUAUUCUCAAUUUCAAGAUCAUUGUGGAUAUGUCAGAAAUUAAUGAAAUAUAAACGGUGGAAUGUGAUUUUCUUGUUUAAGAAAAGUUUUUCUUUGAAAAUACGGGUGCACCUGACCUACCUUAUUGUGCUACUUGGAACACAAAACAUUAGUACAGGUAAUUUAUUAACUAAAUUGUACACUUUUUGAUAGUUCAAGGAGGUGGUUUUCUUCUUUUAGGGUGUCAGCUUUGGAAAUAGGAUGGAUCUAAAAGUUUUUAUGUCUCAUCUUUAUAGGGAACUUGAAAGCAUGGAUGCACUUAUUUCCAUGGAAUUUGGCUUCCUUGAAAUCAAAUUAAGCUUUAUGCAUCAUUUGGAUGCUGAGAAACAAAUGGAAAUAGAAAAUUCAGAAUCUGACAAGUUUUUGUAGGGCAACUGGAUCUAAUCUCUUAGUCGAAGCCUAAUUGGGGCAAAUGCUGAUCAUCUUUGGACCCCAUUGAAAGCUCUAAUCUGUGCACAAUUCUAAUGUUUUUGUUUUCUUCAUUUCUUUUUCAACUUUUCACAAUAGAUGUCAAAGGUUAAAACCAAAUUUACGCAGUCCAUCCAAGUGGAUGCAUAUAAAUUUAACAGAAACUGAAAUUCGAAGAAAUUUAUUUUCCCUUUUGUAAAUGGUGUUUAAAUAUUUUAUUUUCUUAUAUAAUGCAUGUCAGGGUACCAUUCUGGCCUUACAUAAAGCUGAUGGUCAUCUGCUGGCUGGUGAUACAGCAGUUUGAUGGUUCAUAUUAUGUCUAUCAACACCUAGUUCAGCCAUGCUUGUCCAUGGAUCCACAAGCUGUCAUGAACUGGCUCUUCAAUGAAUCAAAAAAGAAGUUUCAUAGCAGAGAAAACUUUCUUGUUUCAGCAGACCGAUAUAUUAAGGAGAAUGGACCUGAAGCUUUGGAGAAACUACUUUCUAGGAAGGUAUGCCAUUAUAAGUAGGAUUAUCAACAAGUCAAACAGAGUUUUAUUUGAGAUGUUCAGGUAAAAAAUGACUAUAGUAGGUCAUCUAGAAUCAUUUGGUCUAAAUUCAUGUAUAUAUCUAUAUAUAAUUGUGUUCUCUUUUUUUCACAUAUGCAUGUGCAUUUAGAUUUACAUAAUUAUAUAUGCAUAAUCAGAUUCAACUGUGAUAGCCCGGAAUUAUUUCAGUAAUCAACUCUUCUGGGAACAUGUUGGUUAUGGUUUCUCUCUCACUGUCCUCUUCUUUAUACAUGACUUUGGCUUCAGUUGAGGAGCGCAAAGCCUAAUGUUGAAGUGAAAAAGAUCAAAGCACCUGCAGCACCGGAGAAAAAAGGGGAACAGGUAAGUUCUCUAAUGUGACUAUUUAAUUUCUAUGAGGCAGAUCCCCAGAGAAAUGUUGCUCAUGUAAAUUACUGAUGCAUUUGAUUCAAUGGCAUGGUUUUAAAAGAAAAACCACUUUAUGUAUGUUUCUGUGAAUAAGAGAACAAGUUUAUGGAUUAAAUGAUAUUUUUUAUGGUGGAUUAAUCAAUAAUUUUCAAAAUAAUAAUAUAUUCGUGCAUGUUUUUGCAAUUCAUGAAUUCCUUUUAUGAUUGAUUCUUCUUGCCUUUUUUCUCACCUCAGUGGAAGUGUGAAGAGCCUAAUGUUGCUCAAAAGGAGAUCCAAGUUGUCAAAGUAACAGAGAUAAAAAAUGGGGGGGAUGGAGCAAAGAGGGUAAGUUUUGCUUUUUAUUUAUAAAGUAGGCUGUCUUCACACAAGGAUUAUUAUCUUUAAGACAUGAAUGUUGAAUGCUUUUGGAAUUGUCCAUGAAUCAUGUGUAGUGUGAAUGGCCUAAUGCUGCUAAGAAGGAGGUCAAAGUGACAGAAGUAACACACAGAACAUUCGGUGGUACAGCACAGUGGGUAAGGUUUCAUGUCAUAUUUAAAUGGCUCCUCAUAUUUCACUAGGAUUAAUUUUGCCCCUACAAACAUAUUUGGCUACAAGUUAAGACAGAGUUCCAGAUGCUGAUAAAGUUGAGACAUAAGUAAUGAAUGAGUUUAGAAACAUGCACAACUCUUGUGUGAAACACAAUGAGAGUGGAAAAUAGCUAAGUUGAAAAAUGGCCAAAUACUAUUUUGUAGUUCCCCCUACCACUUAAGUAAUUUUUGUCAUCCUUUGUGAAUGGAAAAUCCAGUCCCUUCAGUAAUUCCGUUAUAUUCAUGACUUGGUGAAGCAUAUAACCAUUAGUGUCUUGCCUUAAGUCGACCUUUAAUGAUGAUCCAUUGAGAUGGGUCUGACUUUUGUCAACCCUCUUAUUCCCUUGAUCAUAGAGGUUAAACUUAGGGGGCUUAACCCACUUUUGAACCUUAUUGGAUAUAUGGCACAUGGUAUCCUCUUCAUCUUGAAAGAGUGAAGUGGUCAUACUCUUUCCUCUGAGUCCAUUGUGGCCAUGCACUUCUGGCCCAUUGGGCUGAGUGAAAGGAUUCCCUUCUGCUUCAAAUCAUAGAGAGAUAUGCCAUGGUCAGCCUCUUUAAUUCAAGGGAUCGAAGUACUCAAAUCCAUUUCUCUGCAUCCAUCUUAAUUCUGCAUUCAUGUCUCAUGGUUAACCAAGAAGAUCCAGCUUCCAUCCAUGAGAUCAGCAUCUGCAGGUUUAUGACACCACCCUUCCUUGGCAUAGGAAAGGGAUCAUUAAGCCAUGUGUUGGAUGACAGAAGUCAUCAUUCAGGUUAUCUUGAGAACUAAGGAAGUUGGAAUUCUAAUUAUUGCAUAUGGUUCUUGAUGUUUAGCCAAUAUACCGUAGGAUUUUAAGGAUCAUGCUCAUGUGCAUUGUGGUUGUUUAUCAGCUAUAUGGUUUACCAAAAUGAGGGACUGAUUAUGGUCAUAAGUACCUUUUUCCUAUUAAUUUCUUGCAUGUGCUCUGCUGAGAUUAUGUUUUUGACAGUCCAAAUCAGGGCAAACCAACAAACAGCUUUAUGUUAACUUUUACAAACUGCCACAUUUUCAGGUUAAACGAACAGAGAUAAAUCUUGGUGAAACUAGAAGUAAUACAACUUGUGCUGUGGAGAUAAAAGAAAGGGCAGCGGCACUGGUGGCUGCAGAAAUUGAGGCAUGUAGAGACGAUAGAACCCCCAAGAUACCUCUUCAUGAGAAAGUCCAGAAAGAGUGGGCUUGUGCUGUAUGCCAGGUCACAACCCAAAGUGAAGCGACCUUCAAUUCCCACCUUCAAGGGAAGAGACAUCAGGCCACUUCUGAGCAGCUGAGAGCCAAAAACCAGGCAACCAAAACCAAUUGUUCCCCAUCUGCUUCAAUGGCCAAGAAAUCUGAUCAGUCCACCAAAGAGGAGCAACCGAAGUGUACUUCCAACAAUCUGAAUUCCAAAAACAAUGGAAUCUCAGCUGCUUCAACAGUGAAGAAACCUGAUGACACCAAAGAUGAUGAGCGACAAAAGUCUGCAUCUAGCAAUGAACCGAACCAGAAGAAUAACAAAAAGCAAGAGGUACAGACCAAUGAGCAAGGCCAUCAGAAGAACUUAAAGCAAACUGGCGAUGGAAUGAAAGAGUUGAGAUUAUGCUGCAAUAUCUGUAAUGUAAGCUGCACAAGUGAGCUUGACAUGGCCUCUCAUCUCAAUGGAUGGAGGCACUUUAAUAUGAUAAAGGAGGCGUCUGAAUUAUGGUGCAGUAACUGCAAUGUAAGGUGCAACAGUGAGGCUGUCAUGGCCUCUCACCGAAAUGGGAGGAGGCACUUGAAGCAGCUGAAGGAACGGUCGGGAUUAUAGUGCAGUAUCUGUAGCGUGAGAUUGUGUUAGGAAGAGGUGGAAUGGGUUCCAAUCAGGAAUUAAGACUCGGUUCCAAGACAUGGAAAGUGUCUUUAGAUUAUGUUAUCUCCAUUUUUUUUAUUGUGAGAGGGGAGUAUAAGGAAUGAAAAUAAAUAUAUAUAUAUUUUUUAAUAGAGAUGAAUUUGAUAAUUUUAAUUAUUGUGUUUUGAUGUAUUUAGGAAUGUAAAAUUAAAAUAAUUAUUUAUUUUCAUUUUAGUAUUUGACAAUAAUAAAAUUAUGAAUUAAAAAAUAAUGUGAUAAUAAUACAUUUAUAUUUAAUUUAAAAUAUUUUUUAUUUUAUUUUAGAAGAAUAUGGGUUAAAUUCUUUUUUUAAAUAAUAAGCUUAAGAAAAAUAAUUUUUACUCAAUAAAUAAAAUUAAUCAUAAAAAGUCAUAACAACCUAAUAAAAAUAUAGGGGUAAAAUAAUAAUUUUAAAAUAUUAUUUAAGUUAUCCAAACAAAUUUGACUCUUCAUUCUCUCUCUUGAACCAAAUACGGUCUUUUAAGCGUUUGUCAACUUAUUUUUUUUUGCAAAAUAUCAAUAUUUUACUAAUAUUUUUAUCGAUUAUUUGCCAAUAUUUAUCGCCACGUCACCAAUUCUUUGAGUUUGACUUUCAAAAUUUUGAAAUGAUAUUUGAAGUCCAGUUCAGCCCAAAUCACUACACCCAUGAUUUUUCCCUUUUCUUUUUCUCCUUAAUUUUCACAUCACCCAACAACACUACUCUUAAUUCACACAAAUUUGAAGGUUUGGAACGAGACUUCUUCCUAAUUAUAUUGUAAUUAUGUUAUAAUAACCAUGUCGUAUUUGGAUUUAUUUAUUCAGUCCAUCUAAAUCUUUUGUUUAUUCAUGUAAAAAGAAUAUAGUUAUAAUCGAAUCCAUUUGUGACAUAUUCAUCUUUUAUAAAUUUAUUAAUUUUAUAUAUUUAAAAACUAUAAAAAUUAAAUAUAUUUUUUCAAUUAUGAAUAUCAUAUUACUAAAAUAUUAAAUAACUAAUUAACUUGAAAUGUUUUAUAUUUCAUUCAUUAUUUUAUAAUUACAACAUUAAGUGAAAUAAUAAAUAGGUUAAAAUAUAUAUUUUAUUUUAGUUAAAAAUUAUAAAUUGUUAUUGAGACGUAUAACUAUUAAAAUUCUACCCAUUUGACCAUCAAACAAACAACUUAAGUUUUUAGUCAUAAUUUAAGCUUCUGAUAAACUCUAUUUCCAUAAAUUAGAAACCGAAAUCAAUUUCUUCUUAGACUCAAAAACAUAAAGACAAUCUUUUAAUUCUAGAAGACAUCUAUCAUUUAAGAUAAGGGUAACAUAUCCCAUUGCCUAAACAACAACUCUUGCUUCAAAAGCCAAUGUCAAGUACAUAUCCCUAUCAUUCAACCUUUCCCUUAGCUAAAACCCCUAUAAAGAAUUAUAAACAUAAUCAAUGGCUCCAAAAUUUAUCCACCAAGAGUUAGUGGAAUCCAACACUAAACAUAAUUCAACUAUAAGAGAAUGAUGCAUAGUUGACUAUCUCUUCAAGAACUAAGGACAUUCCUUCUUCUUCUAAUGGCAUUUUUUACCACAAAGGAAACACUUGUCAUGACCCUUACUCUUCUUCUUCUUCCCCUUAGCCUUAAACUUCCCCUUCUGCUUGAUGAACUCUAUAGUGUUCUUCUUAUUUUGGCUAGAAAAACCUAAAGAACCCUUAACUGCCAUAUAAAUACCUCUCUGGUCCUUGAGAAUUCCCUCAGUCAUUUUGUGUUCUCUCAUUAGUUCAAUUGUAGUUUAAGAAAAAUAAUGUUUUUUAUUUUAUUUUAUGUGAUUGAACUUGGAAUGAAUUUCCAAGUUGCAUACAUACUUGGGUUGAGAUCAAGUCAUAACGUAGUUUAAGAAAAAGAUUUUUUAUUUUUUAUGUGAUUGAACUUGGAAUGAAUCUCUAAGCUACCUACGUAUCCAAGAUGGGAUCAAGUUCUAACAUAGUCACAAUGCAGUUCAAGAUUUUUUUUUUUCUUUUUUUGUGCUCUAACUUUUGUCAAGACUAAAGAUCUUAAUCUUGCAAGCAUGUCCUAACUUUUGUCUAGGUCACCUUUCCAAGUUUUCAACUUAGCAAACAUUUUUUUUUUUUGUUCUCUAACGUUUGCCAAGACAAAAGAUUUUAAUCUUGCAAGCAUGUCAUAACUUUUACCUAAGUCAGAUUUUUAGGUUUUCAAUGUGGUGGAUUUUUUUGUUUUUUAUUUUUUAUUUUUUAUUUUUUGUGUCGUAGGCAAUUUAGCUCAUACGGCCCAGAAGCGAUGUGUAGUUUGUUGGGAUUCAACCCUUAAAAGCAAAACAUGAUGUAACAAAGUUAGACUUAACUAUCCCCUUGCUAUCAUUUUGGUGUAUUAACAUUGAUUUAAACAUUCAACUCAUAUUUUACAUUGUACAUGACUUAGGUGCAUUAGGAGUUGCUCAUAAGAUACAUGGAUUCCUUGUAAGUAGAUGAGUUAUCCAUAGUCAGUUCAUGGAUUUGGGCAAUCUAGUAGAGACUGUAAUGCACCACCUCUUAAUUGAAGAGAUGACUUGUCUUGACAGUUGGGAUAGGUUUCCUAUGGUGAGUGCACUAGUAUAUAUGAUGCACAUUGGAUAGGACCUACGGUAAAUCAUGAGCAAAGCUAUCAAUUGUCAUGAUUCACCAAGUUACGAUACUGCAUGGACUCUCAAUCUUGAGAGGACAUUGAACCUGUGCCAAAAUCAACAAAAAGCUUUCACCUAUAGAUGAGACCUUAAAGUGAUCAUAUAUCCCUAUGGAUUGAGUCACUAUUGAUGAAGGUUGGUGGUAAUAGGUAUUCUCAAUAGAGGCACCAUGAUAUCUCAUGAGAUUGAGACGGUGUGUCCCCUUGGGUGAUACAAAGGACAUGUGAUCAUAAAAUCUGUGACCAUAGUAAUUCUUUUAUUGAAAUUUGACAUAUACCCCUUCGAGCUAGAGUAUGUCAGUUGAUUACAUAAUAAGUGGCAUCUAUAACUUAAGGAUUUGAGAGGUAAUCUUGAUAGGUGAUAGCACUACCUUGUUAGAUUAUGGACACCAGUUCAUGGGGAAUCUACAUGCAGUGGAUGAUAUGUCACGAACGCGAGCUUCAUAUCGUUGUUAUUAACAUAGGAUACUGGAGUGCAAUUGAUUCUCUUUAGUAGAAUGUUGAAUCAACUUCAAAAUGGAUUAUGAGGGAGCCAAUACUCCUAUGGGUCUUAAUGGUCCCCACUCUGAGCUCAUAUACCAUGAUGACACAGUUUAUGAGGGUUUGAUUGGCUUUAUGUUCAUUUUUGUGCAUAAGGGCAUUUUGGUAAUUACACAAGGUUACAUAGGGGAUAGUCAAUAAGGUCUUUAGAUUGGGCCAAUUGAUUAAUUAGAUGACCUUAUGUGGUUAAUUAAUCAAUUAUGAUAUGUUUAGGCUAGAUUAAAUGACCCAAGCCUUGAUGAAUUUAAGUCACUUAAGCCUAGCAGAUAACCUUAUAAAUACCCUCUUAUGGGUUAGGGUUUCCUAAUGACUUUCAGUUAAUCAUCUUCCAUCCCUAGAAAGAGAAAGAGAGCCAAAUCUUUCUCCCUUCCAUUGCCCACACUUUGGUAUGCCAAGAUCAUGGUUCAAGUCACUGGGAGGAAGAUCUUGGGUGUACAAGACCUUCGGACUCUUUAAGUUUCUUCUUCGUUGGAUGAAUUUUUAUUUGGGACACAUCUAGAUCAUAAGUAUGUGUUAGAAAAUUUGGCUAAUUCAACUUAAGGUAAUCACUCUAGAGGAGGGGUGAAUAGGGUGAUGAUCUUUUUUUACAAAUUUAAAUUAUGUGAAUGCAAGAGACAAUUAUACUAUGCAAAUAUAUAGUAAAACCAUAUAAAAAUAAUUGCAUAUAAAGUACAAGGGUAGAAAAUAGAGAAUAUAAACACAAGAUUUUUAUAGUGGUUUGGUGCAACUCGGCCUACAUCCAUUCUCCUCUAGCUUCAAUCCCAAGUUUGAGGUUCCACUAAUUCAAGGCUUCCAACCUAACCCUUCAAGCAAUACAAUUGGAUUAUGGUUCCAAUCAAACCUUUUGGACUUUUGGCUCUAAGCACCUUUUACAAUCUUUGAUUCGUGCCUAACUGGUGUUUGCCCUGUUGAUUGGUGUUCAAUCAACUGAUGUGCUUUGAUUUCAGUCCUCAGACGAGAGUAAUCAACAAAAUUUAUAAACCUAUUUCACCAUAUACUAGGGUAGCAUUAGCUAGCAUAGCAUAGUGGCUCUAGGAUCGUCCACAGGGAUGGGUUUUCAAAUUACAAUUGAUAUUAGUUCAAAAACUGAAUUGGUGUUUUUUCUUUUCAAGGUUAGCUUUAAAAGAAAACAUAAGUAUGUGUGAAAAGGUUGGUUUUAAGUGAAACCAAAAAUAAAGUAACUGAAAUUACUUACAAAGAAAAGUGCUUCUUGGAGUUUUAGAUCACUAGGCUCAAGUUCCUUAUACAAAAAGAGAGAUUCCGAUCACUUGGAUCUUUUCCUAGCAUUGGGGAUUUAACAUAUAGUUAUUUCCCGAACCGGUGCGGUACAGAUGCUUCCCCUUAAUGGUUUCAAACACUAAAUCUCUAUCACUGAAUCAUCUUGUAAUGGUUCAUACCUCUCACCUGGUAUUGGUCAUUUAAGGUGAUCAUUAACCUUGGAUUACCCGUCAAAAGCUCGCAAAAGAUAACUAAUGAAUGUCUCCUAGGAGUCCAAAAGCUUACCAAGUGUUGGCUAUUCUAGAUAAUCCUACCUUUAAACCAUCUCCCAAAAGCUCGCAAGAGAUAAACUAGUGGAUCUCAAUGGACGGAGUCCACUUGCCUUACCAAGUGUUGGCCCAAGUGAUUUUAAGGGAUUUUAAGUUAACUAAAAAGAUAAAAACCAUUAACGGGUCACACUUUCUCUUCAUUAAAACCUGAAACAAUGAAACUUCCACUUUUGUAUACGAAACCUUACCUAGCUUCCUUCACUCCAAGAAACAAAAAGCCUAGCCACUCAUCCUCUAGGAAAACAUCCUCAGAGUUUGAUUUGGUAGAAAUAAAAAUAAAAGAGAAAACCAAAUGUGAAGGUAAGGCCGAGCAGAGCUCUGUGUAUUACUUUAUGAAAAACUAUACAAAAUUUGUCUCUAAGAGAAACUCCCCCGAGAUCUCUUUUAAAAGAAAAUUACAAUAGAUAUCAUAUAAAGAGGCUAUUCACCCCUCUUGCUAACUUCCCAACCAUGAAAACUUGUCAAUGGUGGGUUACAAGGAGAAAAUAGGGAUUUACACACAAAUAUUUGAAGAUAAACAUCAAACUGAGUCGGUGCGCAAAUAUCUCAGAUUACAAGUGGAUUUCGCAAGUUCAAACGCAACUUGCAAAAAUUUUGCAAGUUGAAAUUAUGGUUUCGCAAGUUGCGAAAUUGUCCUGCAACUAAUCAGCUCUCUGUCCUACAACAAUUCCUUUCCUCUUCCUAUUUCGCAAGUUGUGAGAAUUUCGCAAGUUGGAUUCCACAACUUGCAAAAUUGUUGGAUGGUUGAUUUCUUUUGUGAUUUUCUUCCUUGCAUCCUCAUUUGGCUUUGGCAAAGGGUUAUGAAGCUCCAAAGCUUAGUUUCUUCAUGAAUUUGAGCUUCAACUUGCUUUGCCAUGAACUAUACAAAGAUCUCCCUCAUUCUUGGAUUGCUUUGGUGAUAAAAAAGCUAUGAAAAACACCAAAACUUAACACAAUUUGAUUAGAAACGAUUGUAAGGGUCUUUAACAUGCCAAUUGAGUUAAAAGGUAAUAGCUACUACUCAAAAGUGUUUAAAAGAGUUAAUUACAAGCUAUAAAAUGACCCUUUUUGAAGUUCAACCCCUUAAGUGAUACCCCUUAAGUGAUACCCCUUAAUUCAAGAGAUGUCUUACUCUUAAACAACCCCUUAAGUGAUACCCCAUACUUGAGAUUCCCUAAGUGAUGCCUCACACUUAGAUUUUUCAUCUCAAAGAUUUACAAAUGAAGAUAGGAAAUAAUCUCACAAAAUCUUAAUACAAAACAUUAGGCUCAAAUGAUACAAGAUAAACUAUGAUUGAAUGGUGCACUAAUAAUAUGCAAGUUUUAAAACAAUGAGUACUAAAAAACACUCUCCUAAGGUUCAAAUAUAUUCAAGAAAGAUUUAAGAAGGUUAAACUCUUGAAACAAUAAAGAUUGAAACCUUUUUAUGGAGGAGAAAUGCCAAACUAGUUGUUGGGGGUUUGUCCAGUCGAGUUCUGGUUUGACCGGUUCACUAACCGUUAGCAUUUAAUGCAUGAUAGGUGAUCAUUGGGCCUUGACCAUCCCUCGACCAGUACUCAACCGGAUAAAGUUCAACCUUAAUCAAUCGAAUAAGCAUUCUAGAAUAGAGAGAAGGUUUUUGCACCUUUCAAUCAGUUGAGUUGAACAAAUAGACGGAUUCCUUAUCCAGUUCAACCGGUUGAGCCAUUUUUGGCUCAACAAUCAUCAUUUUCAACUUAAAACCUUUUAAACAAGUUUAGAAAGCAUUUGACACAAGGAUUUAGUUGAAAACAUUAAAUCAUCCUAUUUUUAAAAGAUUUAAAACAAAAUACCUCUUGAAUGAUUUUGGUGUAUAAGUAAAUAAUGUAAUGCAUGAAAAACCCAGUGCGCCAACAACCUUACAAAGAGAUCUUAUGAGGCUUAGGUAUUGAAAAACACUUCUCUUUAAGGCAGACAACAUCGUGUGAAUACCAAAGGGGAACUCUACGUUCCUAGGGAAAGAUGCCUCGUCAGUACGUCUUGAGGUUGUUCACUAACUUCGGGGUUACCGGCUUUGAGAGGAGCCCUUUGAUGACAUUUGGGCAUGCAACUCUUCAUUUUCUUCCUUGAUUCGCCUUGUUUGGUGGAUCAAAGAUUGCAUAUGCCAGUCAUUUUUGCACUAGGUUCUCUCCAUGCUUUCACGCCAGCCAAAGUAGCUUUCGUUACCCAUAGUUGAGGAUCGGCUUCUAAAGGGUACUAACAUCCUUAGUCAUUCCCACAGAUGACACCAAUGUUGGUUCUGAGUCGGCUGAAGUCAAAUUCAUCCAACUUAACGGAAGUUUGACAACCUUCCUCCAUUUUUUGUGCCUCUUAGAGAAUCCACCUAGCAGUAAUGAGAUUGGGCGAACUCCUUUCUUGCACAAAAGAAUGUUCAGAUGAGUACUUCGGGUACGCCCUUCGAAGCUUAAGUGAGGCAAAAAUAGCUCAAACUACUUAAUGAGAGAGAGUGGAUAGGUGAAUAUGUGCCUACCUUGUUCGUGCUUUUUGAGGGGUUUAUAUAAUGUUGAUGAGAAUGCCACUAUAGUGCUUACUAGACACUUUAACUUUCUUCUAUAAUGAUGAUUGUCUUGCAGGCGGUUGGGCAAUCAUCAAAAUUUUGGGUGGCUGAUAGGUGCCAUCAACUAACGUGCCAUGAUCUUAGACCAUGCAGUAACCUGUUCCCUCAGUCUGUUGAUGGCCUAAGGUUAUGUGCAACAAUUAAUUGACAUGGACUUGAGGGCUAGAAGAGGUCCCAUCGGCCGUUCACAUGUCAAGUGUGAAUGAUCACUCAUGCUAGUGGGUCUUGAAGAUUUGACUAGACAACCUUACCUAUUUGGGAGGUCCAACCUCCCAUUGCCGUUGUUUUGGCCUUAUAGGAGAAAAGGGCUUUCUCAUGUAUGGUGCUAGAGGGACUAGUCGUGAUCCAGAUGAGUUGCAUACCCAUGCUAGAUGGUCGAAGUGUCCGGGUUGGAAAUGGAGGGAAGCCUCCCACAAAUAUGAGGGAGCCUUAUGAAAACGGAUCCUUAGGGCUUAAGAAGGGGUUUUCAAUUUUAAGGUUUGCCUUUUCACCCAAGGAUGUGAAUGGGAAGAUGAGGCGAAGUUAAAAGAUUGGUGAAGCAAAGUGAGGGCAAGGUAGGGUUUGAAUAAAGGAAAGUAUACACUAUUAAUGAAGAUGAUAAUCUCUAGAAAGAAAAACUAAGGUAAACUAGGGCUUUAAUAAUAAUUUUCAAUCUACACUAGUGAAGAGGAUAUCUUCGAAAACCAAAGUUAGGGCUUCAAUAACGAAUUUCAAUCUACAAUGGUGAAGACAAUAAUCUUCGAAAACCAAAUCUAUAAUGAUGAAGAUGAUUGAAAACUAAAUCUAUACUAGUGAAGACGAUUGGAAAGCAAAUCUACACUGGUGAAGACAAUGAAACCAAAUGUAGGUCUUCUAAACUAAACGCUUUUAAGGAUUUUCCUUUUUUUUUUCCUUUGUUUUCAAGAAAGGCAAACUCUUUAGAAAACUAAAAAAACUAAUGCAUUCUUAGAUCCAGAUCACUAUUUCCAACAUGGUAUUUGGAUUGCCAGCUUGCAUUUUUUAUUUUUUUAUUUUUUUAAUAGUCAUUGGCAUUUUAGGGAUUAUUGAAGGAUAAUAUCAUUCAGCUCAAUUUCCCAAAUUAGUUAGGUCUUACACUCAAAUGUGAAACUUAUAUGGAUGUUAGGCCAAUUAUCAAACUCAUCUGCCCUAAAACAUAAUUUCCCUUUUUUAAAAUAGUUGUUAAACAUCUAUCCCAAACACGUUUAACCCUUUGAAUUGCUUGUAUGUUAACCUUGUUUCCUUUUCUUCAUGCAACAUGGCUUAUUGAUGGUUGCAUUGAAUCAUUAUCAUUCACCAAUUCCAUGCAACUAUGGACUACAUUUCAAAUCCCUCGAACAUAAAUGGUAAUUCCAAAACAACUCAAGUAUAAUCUUUUCAACCCUUUCAAAUGAUUUAAUUAAUUGAUUUUUGAAUAUAUUCAUAUAUUUUUUUGAGCAAUUUUUAGGCAUAUAACAUAAAUCUCUUUUUUAUAUAUAUAUAAAAGGUUUUAUAUUUUAUAUUACAAUUUCCUUUUGUUUUUUCAUCUAAAAAACAAAACAUAAAACCUUAAUAAACGAGUUUUGUCACAAUCCCUUAACAAGUAAUCUAUUUUUUAAAUUACUUUAACAUUUUUAGAUAUAUUGAUUCAAUCUAAUUUACUUUUAAUAUUUUUUAUAAAAUAUUUUUACUUUAUAUGACUAUAAAUUAAUUACUAUUGAUUGCAUAUUAUAGAAUAUAUAUUCUAAAAUAUAUCUUAUUGACAAUAUAAUCAUAAGAUGUUAUAUCCAUAUCCUAACAUAUUAUAUACUUUUAUUUUGUGCAAUUAGCAACAUGGUGGGAAGUGGCAAGCAGCUUAACGGAAAUGUCAUGUGCCAAUGUGCCAUGCGUGUCCCUUCCCUUAGUGAGUCUGAACUGCUCCAACAUUUCCGACAUGUUAUUUUUUACUUAGCUCUUAAGUAUUUUCGUCUCGUUUUCGUUAACCCCAUCACAUUUCGCCACAUGGAUCUAAGCCUCAUGGUCCUUUCGUUCGUACAAUGAAUGUUCCCCCAAUUCCUUAUCUACACUAAAACUCCAUACUCGCCAUCUACUCAACCACUUCUCUACUCUAGAGUUUGGGUCCUUUAUCUCUGCACGUGUCUAUGGCUUUUCACCCCAACAAGUAUGGCAUUACAAGGGCAAUAUCGUCAUUAAAGACCCAAAAGGGAAACCAAUGGCAUUAUCUUCCUUUUGGUCUAUUCUAUUUAUAUUGUAAGUUAUUCGUGAUGACUUCUCCCAUAAAAGCUAAAAACCACUCCAAUAGAGCACACUUCACUUCUUCAUUUUUUUUUUUCCAGAUAAGCUCAGAAAGCCCAGCUCAUCCCUCAACUCCCCGAUGGGUUUGAUGAAUGUUCUUAAAUUCUCAACUGCAUGCUUUGAUCUUCUUAUCUGGUAUAUUGUCCACGCAUUUUCUUGUCAUUGGAAAAUUUUGGAAAAUGAAAUGGAAUUCUAUGUUUGAUGACAAAACUGGGAUUUGCUUUGAUUUCUCCAUGUUGGUUUUAUCCCUUUUGUUUGAAUUGUCCACAUUCUUGUCAUUGGUUGUUAGUUAUUUGUUUGGAUUUCUACUUGUAGGCCUCUGUUUGCACUGGGUUAUCCUCUAUAAAUCUUGGUCUUACACACCAAGAUAUGAUGAUUCAUUUACUCUUUUCUUGUUCUAUGAAUUCUUAGUUCUGUUACAUUUAUUGGGUUGGAAAACUGAAAAAGGAAAGGAUUAUUCGUUAUUAUCAUAAUAAUCAUCAACGUCAUCUCAAUUAUUCACAGAUGUGCAUCAAUUCAGGUAAUUGAGACUAACUCGAUCUCAGACAUUCAGAAGUUGGUGGCAUAUUGGGUUCUAUUUUCCUUGAUUUCACUUUUUGAUCGUACUUUUUCCAAGCUCCUUGAAUGGUAAUUUUGUUCAACUUCAUUCCAUCAUAUGUGGCUCUAUUUGUUUCAUUUCUUUGCCCUUCAGGAAUUUGGAGUUGCCUUUUUUAGUUUUCUUCCCUGUGAAAAUAAUCGAGAUGUUUAAUGUUCCAAGCCUCCAUGUAUUUUAUUUUCCUUCAUUUCUCUGCUUUGAUAAAUCCCCAUGAUUUGAUCAGCAAAAAGGCUAUAACAUUUGACAAAGAAAUGCUUUAUUUUGGUUUUUUAAGUACAACAAUUUUCAUUUGGAGAAAUGGUCUAAAGGGUAUCGGUGUUUGGAUGAAUCAUGGAAUUUUCUCGCUAAUUUGGGAUUUAUUCUCAAUUUCAAUAUCAUUGUGGAUAUUUCAAAAAUUAAUGAAAUAUAUAUGAUGGAAUGUGAUUUUCUUGUUUAAGAAAAGUUUUUCUUUAAAAAUUUAGGUAACCCUGACCUACCUUAUUGUGCUACUCGAAACACAAAACAAAAGUACAAGUAAUUUAGUAACUAAAUUGCACACUUUUUGAUAGUUCAAGGAAGUGGUGUUAGCUUUGGAAAUAAGAUGGAUCUACUAGUUUUUAUUUCUCAUCUUUAUAGGGAACUUUCCAUAAUAUAGCUUAUAAAUACCAUAAUCACAGUGAUGAAUAAUUGUCUUGUUUGAAAGCAUGGUUGCACUUAUUUGCAUGGAAUUUGUCUGCGUUGAAAUUAAAUUAAGCUUUAUGCAUCAUUUGGAUGCUGAGAAACAAAUGAAAAUAGAAAAUUCAAAAUUUGACAAGUUUGUGUAGGGAAAUUGGAUCUAAUCUCUUAAUCGAAGCUUAAUUAGGGCAAAUGUUGAUCCUCUUUGGACCUAUUGAAAGCUCUAAUCUGUGCACAAUUCUAAUGUUUUUGUUUCCUUAAUUUCUUUUUCAACUUUUCAACAAAGCAUCAAUUUGCUAUAAUAAAUGAGAACCAACUUGACGAUGAGAAAAAUGACUGGUGAUGAUGUCAUAGAGAAUCGCAGAUGAGAACAACCAAAAAUACUAGGAUUGGUACCACUGAUGGUAAUGAAGAAAACACAAAAAUGGUGCAAAUGGUGAACAGGAAACUCAAAAUGGAAUGGGAAAAGAAACCUAAACAAUAGUCUCCUAUAUAAAGCACACAACAUGUACAUCGAGGCAUCUGAAAGGACACGCUGCCUGAGAAGUCACUCUAAUUGAUGUGACUCCUCAUGACGUGGGUGGUGGACAUAUGUCCCAUGGUGCCAAAAAUUUCAAACACUCAAGCAACCGAAUACUUUCACUUAGUCAUUUAAAGCCUAGCUAGACUCAAUUGCAAGAAUUAAGGGCAUUGUGGGAUGCUCACCACCGUCUAUCAUGGUCCUCAAACACUGUCUGGUGUGAGACAUAUUGGCACAAGAGCCAUGUAGCUUCUCUAUCCACCCCAAGAUACUCCUAGGGUAGCAAACGAACACAAUCCGACCAAACACUAUGCAUUCCUACCCUACAAGCAUUAAUUUCAAUGAGCAAUAAGUGUAUUAACACAUUAAUGAAUGCAACCGUUAUAACGCUAAAACGCCAUACUUUAAGGUUCAUCAAGACACAACAACCAUUAUGGGCCGACAAUUAUUGGCGUUAAAUAUGGUAAUGCGCAAUCAAAGGCUCAAUUAAGGCCCUUUAGAAGACGUUACUAUUGGGCAAAGAUAAAUAACCAUUUUUUACCACAAGAAAGUCUGAUGCCAUUUUUUUCACAAAAACUUUUGCUUAAGUCUUCCAUCUCUAACCUAAGCUUUGAAGGGGUGUACUUGGAAAACCUAUCCGAACAUUCCUUUAUGUAGGUGCAAUCAUCGUUUAUGUCACGCGAAGGCUAGUCAAAGACCUUUAUUGGUCGUGCACCAAUAAAUCUAUUUAGUAUAUCUCAUUUAUCCGUUCAAGUGAGAUGAAGGAGUGACCUAAAGAUAGAUUGGAAACAUCAUAGUUUCUUAUAUUGGUAAGGCAGCAACAACCUCGGCUAGUGCAUCAACCUGCUCGUUUUCCUCUAGGGGUACGCGUUUGAUAAACCAUUCAUUCAAUUUUUCUGUUCAAGUGUACCAAAGAGAGGUAAUGAGCCAUGCAUUCAUCUCAAGCUUCAUAUUUUAGUUAGAUUUGUUCACCCACUAGUUGUGAAUUGCUUUUGAUUUCUACUUUCAUGGUUGUGAGAGCUAAGGCUAGAUCGUCUCAUAAGAAUUGCUUCAUAUUUUGCCUCAAUAUUAGAUACUGGAAAGUUGAGACAGACGACUUGUUCAAUUUGCUCUCCUGUAAGGAAUUGUUGUGUUAGUCCUAUCCUAGCUUCUGAUGUUCUAGAGGCUUCGUCUACAUGGAGAACACGCCAUUGUUCUUCAUUGUUAGACCUUGUCCAUUUUUGGGGUGGUUCGACUAUGAAAUCAAUGAGAACUUGCUAUUUGAGAUACUAAUGAGGUUUGUACCGUAUGUAAUAUUCACUCAAUUUGAUUGCCCAAUUCACCAUUCGACUAGAUAGAUUUAGCUUGUGCAACGUGACCCACAACGGUUGAUUUGUCAAGACCGUUAUUUGGUGCGCCUGAAAAUAUGGACAAAGCUUCUUGGCAGCGAUCCGUAAGUUCAGAGCCAUUUGUUCCACUUAAGAAUAUCGUGUUUUUGUGUCAAUCAUAGCUUUUCUCACAUAGUAAAUAAGUCUUUGUUCAUUACUCUAAUUGUGUGGAAACAAUAUGACAUUGACAGCAAAGUUUGACACAACCAGGUACAUGUAUAACUCUUCUCUAGCUUCAAGACUACUUAAGAUUGGUGGCUUCGUAAGAUACUGUUUGAUGUCUUUAAAGGCAUGCUCACACUCAUCCAUCUAACUAGACAUCUUUGCUCCCUAGAGUUUGCUCAAGAAAGGUCUGAGCUUAUUUAUGAAGCGUGUUAUGAACCAACCUAAGGUGAUUAGACACCCAGUUAGACGUUGCACUUCCUUCUUGCUAGUAGGAGCAGGGAUUUCUAACACUACUUUCACUUGAGCCAGAUCGACUUCAAUACCCCCUUUGAGUCACCAUGAACACAAGAAACUUCCACUCACUUACUCUAAAUGCAUAUUUUAUUGGAUUAAGCUUCAUGUCAUACCUGCACAUUAAACUGAAUGCUUCUUCCAAAUGGAGGAGCUUCUUGGAACGAGUUAUUCUCUUAAUGACAAUGUCAUCGAUAUAGACUUCCAACGUUCGACCUAUCAAGGGCUUAAAAAUAUGGGUCAUCAACUGUUGGUACGUAGCUCCAAUGUUCAUUAACCCAAGCGACAUGAUCUUGUAAAAGUACAACUCCUUAUGUGUAAUAAAUGUCAUCUUCUCUUUGUCAUGUGGAAACAUUGGUAUCUGGUGGUAUCCAAAAGAAGCAUCAAGAAAAGACAACAUUCCAUGCCUGGUUGUGGCAUCGACUAUCUAAUCUAUCUAGAGCAAUGGGAAGCUAUCUUUCAAGCAGACUUCAUUCAUAUCCACGUAGUCUGCGCACACCUGCCAUUUUUCUCCUUUCUUGGUACCACUACCACAUUUGUUAACUAGUCCAAGUAGGUCACCUCCUUGAUAAAUCUUCCUUUUAAUAGCUUCUCAACUUCUAUCUAGAUAAUUUUUUGAUGAUCCAACUAGAAACGUCAGACUUUAUAUUGUAUGGGUCGUGCUGUAGGAAGAAGGUUCAACUUAUGAGAGCUCACCGCUAGGUCUAUUCCAAGCAUUUCCGAAUGAAUCCACACGAGGAUAUCCUUGUUUUUACAAAGCAUUUCACCAACAUUACCACAUUCAUCCCUAGUUAGCAAAAAAUUAGCGUAAGUCAUCUGCUUAUUAUUUUUCGACAAAGAUAGCUAUUGUAAUAGGCUGAUUGCCAAUGAGUCUCUAUCCUCUAGUUUUCCUUCGACCUAAUUCUAUAAUUGUUAUUAGCUCUCUCUUGAUGAUUUGAGUUCAUCUUUAGUUGGGCCUGAACUCCAUCGCCACUUAGUAACACUACUAGGUGGCUAAUUGGAUUCCAUGUGGAUCCACUUACCCAAAUUCUGUCAGGUAGCUCACCAUCUUAUGAUAGGUGGAUGGAAUAACUUUCAUCUUAUGUAGGUACGACAACCUUAUGAUGGUGUUGUACGACGGUAAAUCCUCUACUAUAGAAAAUCAUACGUUGAGAGUAGGCGGGUUGGCUUGGACAAGAAGUACCACGUCGCAUAGUGAUAUUGUGGCAACCCUAUUAAACCCAAACAAAAGUCGAACUAGAUUUUCUAAGGCAGAUGACGAACAUCCCAUUUUCCUGUAGGUUGACAUAUGCAAUAAAUUGGAAUGAUCAUUUUAGGAAGGAUCACUUGAUUAAUGUUAAUUGAAGGGAAAGUGAUUGGGUCAUUGACUGGUCGGGCACUUUCGACAGUAAAUGUGCACUGAACUGCACUUACUCUUUCCCUCCCUGUAGUCGCACAGAGCAUUCGUCUCCUUUGUUGUUUGGAGUGAUAUUUGUCAUCUACUAUUUCCCCAUGGAUAUAGUUAAUCACUACUCGAUGUGUUGUGGGAGAGUCAGGAACUCACUCUGACACUUCACGUGUCAUUUCUUUAUGUCCACCAGUUGCUCAGACAUACAACUUGAGAUGUCCGGUAAUGAUUAGUUUCUCCACCAAGUAGUGCAAAUUUUUGCACUCUUCUGUGGUGUGCCCAUGCUCCUUAUGAUAGAAUCAUCGCAAUCCUCGAUCAUGCUUGGACGAAUCAGUUUUGAUGGGCUCUAGCCACUUGAACUCGAGCAGCUCUCAAAUCAAGAGGAGAAUUCUAUCAUAAAAAAUGGUCAACGGGGUGAGCCUAGGCGAUUAUCAUUGUUGUUGUCUUUCUUGUCCUUGAUUAGUCUAUCUAGACUGGCUUGAGGGCUUUAAGCUCUUAGCCUUCUUUUUUAAUUGCUCGGUUUAUAACCAGGAUUUGUUGAGAGGUUACCUAAACAUCCUCCUCAAGCAUGACAUGUUUGCCCACUCGUCUAAAUAGGUCAUUCAUUGUAGUGGGCAACUUUUUGGCCAUGGACUUGAAGAAUUGAGUGCUUGGACUGAUGAUCCAUUUGAAGAUCUGCAGGAUAGCAUCCAUGUUGUAAGAUUCCAUCUAGAACACCGCUUGUCUGAAUCACUUCAUGAAGUCCCUUAGCGAUUCAUUCUCCUACAUCUGAAUGUUCUAUAAGGUGCUUAUAUUCUGCUUUUGGCGAGCAAAACAUAAAUAAUGGCCCACAAAGGCCUCUAAAACAUCUGUCAUCUGUUGUUGGAAGUGCAUCAGGUGAACAAAAGAGUCACCAUCCCAUAGUAAAUAGUAAAUUUGGGCACCGGAAACCCCUGGGCAGCUCAUAACUAAUGAUAUGUGGGUCAAACGACAUGAAGAGCAUGUCAUCCAAUCAUCUACUUAUGGAGUCAAGAGGGGCUUUUGUCAAUGGGUUAUUUGUCGAUUGUAGUUCUAGUAUUGAACAUUAAGGCAGACGGCUUGGUGAUGCCUCAUCGUUUGAUUGGCCUAAUUGUGCUUUCAAGGCCUCCAAUAUGCAUGGCGAUGCUAGUGUUCUUCUCUCCUGAUACCCAAGAUAGGCUUUCAGGGCAUCUGAGAGACGUAAGCCCCAUUCUUAACCCAUUUUCCAUUUUUCUCCAAUAGAGCUUGCAACCUCUUUCGCUUGAGUUCGAUCGACUACUGAAUGCACUAGUUCAAGUAAUGUUAGCGAACUGCUAGUAGACAAUCCCUCAUCCACUGUUUGUAGAGACGACUUAGUGUAUCAUUGAAGAACUUUCAUUGUUUGGCUUCAAACUACUCUUGAAGUCGUCUAUUGGUUGGAGGUACGAUGACUUUUUUAUCAGCACCCCAUAGCCACUUGUGCUCGUAGCUCUUGGUUCUCUUGCUGUAGUUGUUCUGCCUGUUGGACAGGGACUACAUAGGUUAUUCAUAUUCUUCUUGCUUUUUUUCUAUCUUUCCUUGCCAAGCUUGGAAUCGCUCGUCAACAUUUGCAGAAUGAGUUGCAGGAGGCGUGUUAACCAUCGUGUUUUUUAGGCAUUUGUGGUUGAUUCCCAUAGACAAUGCCAAUGUUGGUGCACGACCAGUAAAAAAAGGUGUUUGGCUAGUCUCCAUGUAACAUAGAUGACGAUUGCACCUGCACAAAGGAAUGUCUGAAUGGGUUUUUCAGGUACACCUUUCCAAAGCUUAGGUCAGAAAUGGAAGACUUAAGCAAGAGUUUUUGUGGAAAAAUUGGUAGCAUACUUUUCUUGUGGUUAAGAAUAACUAUUUAUCUUUGUCCAACUAUAAUAUCUUCUCAGAUGCCUUAAUUGAGCCUUUGAUUGUGCAUUAUCAUCUUUAAUGUCAAUGAUAGCCAACCCAUAAUGGUUGUUGUGUCUUGAUGAACCUUAAAGGUUGGCGUUUUAACCUCAUAAUGAUUGCAUCCAUCAAUGCGUUAAUGCACUAAUUGCCUAUUGCAAUUAAUGCUUGUUGGGCAAGAAUGCAUAGUGCCCGAUUAGAUUGUGUUUGUUUGGUACCCUAAGAGUACCCUGGGGUGGACAAAAAAGCCACAUGGCUCUUGUUCUAACAUGUCUCGACUAGACAGUGUUUGAGGAUCAUGUUAGAUGGUGAUGAGCAUCCCACAGUGAAGACGUAUGAUGAAAGCAAAGGUAGGGCUUCUAAACCAAACGCUUUUAGGGAUUUUUUUUUUUUUUUCAACAAAGUUGACCUCUUCAAGGAAAAAAAAAAAGGUUAAAAAAACUAUUGCUUUUUUGGAUCCAAAUCACCAUUUCCAAUGUGAUAUUUGGAUUUCCACCAUGUAUUUUUUUUUUUUUUAACAGUCAAGGACAUUUUAUGGAUUAUUGAAAGAUAAUAUCUUUCAACUUAAUUUCCUACAUUAAUUAAGUCUUAGGCUCAAAUGUGAAACUUAAGUGGUUGUUAGGCCAUCAAACCCAUCUGCCCUAAAGUAUAAUUUCCCAUUUUCAAAAUAUAUAGUUGUUAAACAUCUAUCCCAAACUAUUGUAACCCUUUGAAGUGCUUGGUAUGUUAACCUUGUUUCCUUUUCCUUAUGCAACAUGGCUAAUUGAUUGUUGCAUUGAAUCAUUAUCAUUCACCAAAUCCAUUCAACUAUGGACUUACCUUUCAAAUCCCUCUAACAAAAAUGGUAAUUCCAAAACAACUCAAGUCUAAUGUUCUCAACUCUUUCAAAUGAUUUAAUUAAUUGGUGUUUGAAUAUACCUCUUAUAUUUUUUUAGAGCAAUUUUUAGGCACAUAACAUAAAUUUCUAAUUUUUUUUUAGAAAAGGUUUUAUAUUUUAUAUUUUAUAUUACAACUUCCCCUUUUUUUUCCAUCUAAAAAACAAAACAUAAAACCUUAAUAACCGAGUUUUGUCACAAACCCUUAACAAAUAAUCUAUUUUCCAAAAAUUACUUUAACAUCUUUAAACAUAUUGAUUUAGUAUACUUUACUUUUAAUAUUUUUUGAAAAAUAUUUUUAUUUUAUAUGAUUAUUAAUUAAUUAAGAUUGAUUGGGUAUGGUAGAAUAUAUAUUCCAAAAUACAUCGUAUUGAGAACAAUAUCACAAGAUAUUAUAUCCAUAUCUUAACAUAUUAUAUACUUUUAUUUUGUGCAAUUAGCAAUUGGACGGAAGGUAGGGAGCCGGCUUAAUGGAAAUGUCGCAUCUCACGUGUGUCCCUUCCCUUACCAAGUCUCAACAAAGGAUGAAAAUAUCGGUAAUCACGGAUAUAUCGGUACUUCGAUUUUACGGAUAUAUUAGAUAUAUCAGAGAUAUAUUGACGGAUAUUUUGGAAAAAAAUAUCGAUAAGCCUAAAAUUGAUCAAAAUUUAUAAAAAUAUAAAAAAAACUUCAUAAAAAUGUAAUUAAAAGAAGGUCGUAUAAGUUACUCAUGUUGAUCAUGUGAUAUAUCACGAGAUAUAAUCGAUUUUUGGGAAUUUCUCACGAAAAUAUCGCGACAUUUCUUCCUUGUCUCGACUGCUCCAAGAUUUCCUAUACGCCCUUCUUCGCUUAGCUCUUAAGUCUUUUCUUCUCCUCUUCCUCAAACCCAUCACAUUUCGCCGCGUGGAGCUAAGUCUCAAGGUCCUUUUGUUCGUACGAUGUAUGUUCCCCCAAUUCCUCAUCUACCUUGAAACUCCAUACUCGCCAUCUACUCAACCACUUCUCUACUCUAGAGUCUGGAUGCUUUAUCUCCGCGAGUGUCGAUGGCUCUUCACCCCAGCGAGUAUGGAAUUACAAGGGCAAUAUCGUCAUUAAAGACACAACAGGCAAACCAAUGGCAUUGUCUUCCUUUUGGUCUAUUUUAUUUAUGCUGUAAGUAUUCGUGCUUGACUUCUCCCGCGUCUCUUAUAAAAACUAAAGAAAACCACUCCAACAGAGCACACUUCAAGAAUCUUCUUUUUUUUUUUCUUUCCUCUUUCUCUUUACAUAUAUACUGAGAAAGCCCAGCUCAUCCCUCAAUUCCCAGAUGGGUUUUAUGAAUGUUCUCAAGUUCUCAGCUGCAUGCUUUGAUAUUCUUGCCUGGUAUGUUGUCCACGCAUUUUCUCGCCAUUGGAAAUUUUUGGAAAAUGAAGUGGAAUUCUCUGUUUGAGGACAAACAUGGGAUUUUCUUUGAUUUCUCCCUGUUGGUUUUAUCUAUAUUCUUUGGAUUACCCACAUUCUUGUCAUUGAUUGUUAGUCAUUUGUUUGGAUUUCUACUUGCAGGCCUCUAUUUGCACUGGGUUAUCCUCUGUAAGUCUUGGUCUUACACCUCAAGAUAUGAUGAUUCAUUUACUCUUUUCUUGUUCUACGAAUAGUUCAGUUACAUUUAUUGUGUUGGGAAACUGAAAAGGGAAAGGAUUAUUCUUUAUUAUCGUAAUAAUCAUCAACAUCAUCUCGGUUCUUCACAGAUGUUCUUCAAUUCGGGCAAUUGAGACUAACUCAAUCUCAGACUUUCGGAAGUUGGUGGCGUAUUGGGUUCUAUUUUCCUUGAUUUCACUCUUUGAUCAUGCUUUUUCCAAGCUCCUUGAAUGGUAAUUUUGCUCAACUGCGUUCCACUAUAUGUGACUCUGUUUGUUUCAUUUCUUUGCCCUUAAGGAAUUUGGAGUUGCUUUUUUCAGUUUUCUUUCCUAUGAAAAUAAUCGAGAUGUUUAAUGUUCCAGGCCUCCAUGUAUUUUAUAUUCCUUCAUUUCUCUGCUUUGACAAAUGCUCACAAUCUGAUCAGCAGAAAGGUUAUAACAUUUGAAAAAGAAGUGGUUUAUUUUUGUUUUUUUUAAGUACAAUAAUUUUCGUUUGGAUAAAUGGUCUGAAGGGUGUUUGUGUUUGGCUGAGUUCAUGGAAUUUUCAAGCUAAUUUGGGAUUUAUUCUCAAUUUCAAGAUCAUUGUGGAUAUGUCAGAAAUUAAUGAAAUAUAAAUGGUGGAAUGUGAUUUUCUUGUUUAAGAAAAGUUUUUCUUUGAAAAUGCGGGUGCACCAGACCUACCUUAUUGNNNNNNNNNNNNNNNNNNNNNNNNNNNNNNNNNNNNNNNNNNNNNNNNNNNAUCAGAUUCAACUGUGAUAGCCCGGAAUUUAAUUCAGUAUUCGACUCUUCUGGGAACAUGUUGGUUAUGGUUUCUCUCUCACUGUCCUCUUCUUUACACAUGACUUUUCAGUUGAGGAGCACAAAGCCUAAUGUUGAAGUGAAAGAGAUCAAAGCACCUGCAGCACCGGAGAAAAAAGGGGAACAGGUAAGUACUCUAAUGUGGCUAUUUAAUUUCUAUGGAGGCAGAUCCCCAGAGAAAUGCUGUUCAUGUAAAUUACUGAUGCAUUUGAUUCAAUGGCCACGGUUUUAAAAGAAAAACCACUUUAUGUAUGUUUCUGUGAAUGAGAGAACAAGUUUAUGGAUUAAAUGAUAUUUUUUAUGGUGAAAUAAUCAAUAAUUUUCAAAAUAAUAAUACAUUCCUGCAUGUUUUUGCAAUUCAUGAAUUCCUUUUAUGAUUGAUUCUUCUCACCUUUUUUCUCACCUCAGUGGAAGUGUGAAGAGCCUAAUGUUGCUCAAAAAGAGAUCCAAGUAGUCAAAGUAACAGAGAUAAAAAAUGGGGGGGAUGGAGCAAAGAGGGUAAGUUUUGCUUUUUAUUUAUAAAGUAGGCUGUCUUCACACAAGGAUUAUUAUUAUUAUUAUUGUUAUUAUUUUAAGACAUGAAUGUUGAAUGAUUUUGGAAUUGUCCUUGAAUCAUGUGAAGUGUGAAUGGUCUAAUGCUGCUAAGGAGGAGGUCAAAGUGACAGAAGUAACACAGAGAACAUUUGGUGGUACAGCACAGUGGGUAAGGUUUCAUGUCAUAUUUAAAUGGCUCCUCAUAUUUCACUAGGAUUAAUUUUGCCCCUACAAACUAUUUGGCUACAAGUUAAGACAGAGUUCCAGAUGCUGAUAAAGCUGAGACAUAAGUAAUGAACGAAUUUAGACACAUGCACAACUCUUGUGUGAAACACAAUGAGAGUGGAAAAUAGCUAAGUUGAAAAAUGGCCAAAUACUAUUUUGUAGUUCCCCCUACCACUUAAGUAAUUUUUGUCAUCCUUUGUGAAUGGAAAAUGCAGUCCCUUCAGUAAUUCCAUUAUAUUCAUGACUUGGUGAAGCAUAUAACCAUUAGUGUCUUACCCUAAGUCGACCUUUAAUGAUGAUCCAUUGAGAUGGGUCUGACUUUUGUCAACCCUCUUAUUCCCUUGAUCAUAGAGGUGAAACUUAGGGGGCUUAACCCACUUUUCAAUCUUAUUGGAUAUAUGGCACGUGGUAUCCUCUUCAUCUUGAAAGAGUGAAGUGGUCAUACUCUUUCCUCUGAGUCCAUUGUGGCCAUGCACUUCAGGCUCAUUGGGCUGAGUGAAAGGAUUCCCUUCUGCUUCAAAUCAUAGAGAGAUAUGCCAUGGUCAGCCUCUUUAAUUCAAGGGAUUGAAGUACUCAAAUCCAUUUCUCUGUAUCCAUCUUAGUUCUGCAUUCAUGUCUCAUGGUUAACCAAGAAGAUCCAGCCUCCAUCCAUGAGAUCAGCAUCUGCAGGUUUAUGACACCACCCUUCCUUUGCAUAGGAAAGGGAUCAUUAAGCCAUGUGUCGGAUGACAGAAGUCAUCAUUCAGGUUAUCUUGAGAACUAAGGAAGUUGGAAUUCUAAUUAUUGCAUAUGGUUCUUGAUGUUUAGCCAAUAUACUAUAGGAUUUUAAGCAUCAUGCUCACGUGCAUUGUGGUUGCUUAUCAGCUAUAUGGUUUGCCAAAAUGAGGGACUGAUUAUGGUCAUAAGUACCUUUUUCCCAUUAAUUUCUUGCAUGUGCUCUGCUGAGAUUAUGUUUUUGACAGUCCAAAUCAGGGCAAACCAACAAACAGCUUUAUGUUAACUUUUACAAACUGCCAUAUUUUCAGGUUAAACAAACAGAGAUAAAUCUUGGUGAAACUAGAAGUAAUACAAC
rnacentral:lncRNA from 1 species